UGAAGCUGAGUUGAUCGCCACCGUGACCCGGAGUUGGUAGAGAUCGGCCUGUGAUCUGUUGCCGUGUCGUUAGAAUAAAAGUCGUGUGCGGUUGGUGAUGUGUCCGUGAGUGUGUGUUUAGUUUCUGUCCUGUCGUUGUGUCCUGCUAUGGCGAGCUAUCCGAUGUAAUAAGCAUUUGGCACUUGUGCUUGUUUUUCAAACCAUGGAUCGUGAUGAGAACCUCUGUACUGUGGUGCAAUCCUUUCAUCUAUGCGAAUGGUCUUUAUUGUCUACUCGUAUAUCUUAAUCGGUGCGGUUUUCUGGAACCUGCCUACACCAGAUUAAGCAAAAACAAUUAAAAAUACUAAAGAAAUCUGCAAAUAUGAAACUUUACCGUAACAAGCAAUGUCUACUGUAUGUCGAGGUGUGUUUUCGUAUCUAUACUAAACCUAUCCUACAGCGACCCGAUCCUAAACCUAUCCUACGGCGGCGGCGCCCGACGUCCUUCGUCCAUCGUAGAAGGACUGACCCACAUGGAACACAAGGCCUUGUCGCCUUUCAUGCCUUGCUCAUUCUUGCAGGAGUCCGCGCCGUGAGGUCCAUGAUGGAAAUGGUGUCGCUCGCCCUGUUGUCGUCCCACCUUGCUGCCGGAUAGUUCGUCGGCAACGCAUAGGAGGCGCAACUGGUGUUGUUCUCCUUCGCGAUCCCCUGGAGCUGGGCCUCGAUGACGGCCGCUUCCUGGCGAGCGACGGCUUCAGCGCGGACGACAUCGUAGAUGGCACGCUGCUCCGCGACGAAAUUGGGGUUCGCAUCGGCCAUAGUCGCCACGGCCUCCUCGCUCGCCGCAGAUCUGGCCCUCCGUCAGCCGGUGCUGCUCCAGGAGGAACAGGUUAUACCGUUGUUCCUCCUGCGCCCGCUGGACGCCGAAAGGCGCUGACGCAAGCUGCAUCUCCGUCAUGGCGGCAUUGUAGUGCUCUUGCGCAUGCUCCAUGGUGAAGCCGGCGUGCACAGGAGGUGCUGGAGCCGGGGCGGUGUCGUCGGAGCCCGUCUUCAUCGUGGUGUCGUCCUCGUCAUCGGACACCUCGGGAGAGCUGGCCGGCAAACCGGUCUCGAUCCGCCUGGCACGGGGGCAGCAAGGGCGGCCACCACGUGCUUCAUCUCAGUGGAAAGGUUCUCCCACAAAGCUUCGCCAAGCUUCGCCGCUUGCAGUCAUGGCAGAUGCAAUGCAAGGGAGUAGGAUGUGGAGCGGCUUGUCUUGGCAUAGAGUUGGUCGGGUGUGGCCGCCUUUAAAUAGCGAAUUUCAGUGAGACCAACCGUUCGGGUGCGUCAAUGCGCAGCGGCGGAGUGGGUUUCACAGCCGUUAAGCCUAUUUAAUGGCGGCUUACGGACGGACGGGCCAUUCAACGGGCGUGGUAGAUAUCCGUCCCGUCCCAUCCAGUAAUGCGUCUUCGGCAUUGAACAGGCGCAAACGUGUCGCGGGUUGUGCCCUCGUCCGGCGUGCCGUUUCAAUGACGGUGGCAAUGAGAGGUCGCGUCCAUCCUGAGCCGUUUUUAAUGUGGUGUGGUGCGCGCGACAGCGGAAUGAAUGUGGACAGCUGGCGCCGGACGGGAACACGCACGGCGAGGAAGGAGGGGGUUUGGGUGGACCAGGCGGUCAGAAGCGGGUGUGGCAGCGGUCCGAACUCUCGCAAAACUCCCCAUGGUUGUCUUCGGUUUGCAGAAAAAAAAACAUCUGCAGAUCGCUCUACGGAUCAAUACAGGUCCGCGAUAGCUUCUACGAUGAAGAUGCAAUUGUGCUAGCCUGACCGAGUGAUGCACACAAUCUUUGACCGAUAUUGAUUUACUAUUUAAAAGUUCAUGUAAAAACAAUAAAGUUCAUAAGAAAAUGCCAUACAUGGCUGCCCCAACGGUAAAUAUAAAAAACACAGAAAUUAUUUUUUCAUGCAUCUUAAAUCCUAGUAGGUUGCUAACAAUUCGAUUGAACAAAUUUCGAGAGAGAUCAUCUCCCGUCGAAAACCGUGGGCGCCUUAUCCUCCUCUUUUUGUAGCAAUGACUACAUAUGGGAUGCCCUGAAAAUAAGUUGUAAUUUUUUGGAACAAAAUUAUUACAAGUGUUUCAAAUGGCCCAAUGCGUGUAAAUUCUCAGAAACUUCAACUUUGGAUGCACCCUCACUAAUCACUUUUCAAACAUAUUCAUACUACUUGUGGGUGGAGGUAGACUAAAAGCUAUAUGGACGUAUCACCAUAAUAAUUUGGCAAGCGAGCAGAAGGAAUAAAAGGCCGGAUGAACUCCUCAUCCCAACAAAAGCAACACCUAGUGCAUUCUUGCCAAUUCUUUUCUCCAGACUAGGUAAUUGUCCGUGCGUUGCAAUGGGGAUAAGAAAAAAAGUAUGGAUGCACUAAUUAAAGGGUCGUCAUAUUUUUACAUAAGCAUCACAGUUCUACGAUUUCCACCCACCCACCUUGUGCCGAGCACCCUCGUAUAUACUCAUCCUCCUUACCACCCACCAUCCCAUUCCACACGACAAGUAGACAAGGCAUCCCUUUUUCCUCUCUCCCCACCCUUUACUGGACAUUAUUUUUAAUUAUCCGACAUGCAAAAAUCAAUAAAUCAUUCAUCUCAAACAUGUAUUUGUAGGAUCUUCGUGCACAUCAAACAACACUGUCCACUAUUGUUUUACGUUAAAUCACUCUUCUUCGAGUAGGCUAAGCAGUCUCAGUGGAGUAACUUCGCCCCUUGUCCCUCCAAAGCAGGUCCAUGCAGCUAAGCAACCCUUGACACGCGAAAAAGAAAACACAGAGGAAAACAUGCAACCAAACAAGGUCUCGCAGGACAAAAUAACCUGGUGACUUGUGUGAGUGCCUACAAAAAAAUCAUGUGCAGGAAGGAGAGGGGGAUGGUGGAUAGAAGAACCAUCAUUAUAUCAACCUACCAUUCAAAGCUCAAAGAAGUUUUUAGGAAGAAUACAAAAUAUAAGUAAAUCUCAAUAGGUAAAGUUAAUGGCAAGGUACAUCGUUUUUCUUUCAAAAGGAAUAUCCACGGCCCAUCAUUUGUGAUGCACACAUCCAUCUUUUAUUGAAUAAAAUUCAAAUGUUCAAGGGAUUUAGAAUAAUAGAAAAGGAAAAAACUACAACCUCUAGCAAAAAAGGAUUACAUGACACGUUCACAUAAUUUACUAAAGAAGCUGUGUAAUGUUAUAACACACACACCGAAGGUAAUAAAGAAAACAAAAUACCCCCUACUUUCCACCAAUUGUAACAAUCUUUGAAGUCAUUAUUAACAAACUAAAAGGCUUUGGCCUAUGCAUUCAAUUGUUCUACAUGAAUAAAGGGUUGUCAUUGCGUACAAUUUGAUGUGUGCAAAUAAUAUACAUUUUAUAAUCAUGACACAAUCUAAAUCCUAAUAGCACUGGUAGCUUCAACUUGAGAAUUGAUGGGAGUUAUAAUAUGGCUUUGAAGGCAAAUACCAGCUCCUUGCUAUAGUUCUUCCUUGCAACCUGCACCAAAACCGACAUGGCAAACACAACUUUGAAGCCCACAACCAUGACACCACUUUUGCAAGUUGCUCAAAACACGAACUCGUUUGCAUAGAACAUCCAUUUCUCUAGUGGACAUUUCCUGUACUCAAUAUUCCACCAACUUCUGUAGAUUUGGAACCAAAAAAACCAAGCUAUCUUGCUUCUACUAAACCAAGAACGGAGAAACACCUAAUCAACAUGUUGACUACUUUCCUUGGACUGCUAAUAUCUUGUUAUCUUGUUAGCGUAUCAAGAUUUUAGAUAAUAUGAACAGAAAUAUCACUAACAACAUAAUUUCGGGAGGAACAUAUAUUGUGUUACUAUUGAUGUGCGUACCCGAUGGUGGUGAAAAAACUUGUAGUGAAAGUGUAAAAACACAAUAGCAAGCAAGUAUUCCCUACCCCUACUAAUUAGAAGAGGAAUAACAAAUCAUUAAAUAUAAAUUUUAAUGAUUAAAUAAACAAGAAACUCUAUGGGUCAUGCCUAUGUAAAGUGAAUAGUUUUUUUGGAAAGGAUCCCACAACCCCUGUCAUUAUACCUUGACUCUAAAGCUUAAGCCUUGUUUUCAGCAUGUCAACUCGACAUACCAUGCCUUUUCCAAAUGCGUCUACAGUCGAUAUGAUGCAUCGAUUGUUAUUUUGCCAUGUCUUGAACUAAACAGAUAUGUUUGCUUACAUAAGCAUGUUACUGCAUAACCACAAAACCCAAUGCAAGGCAAUAAGCAACAAUAACAUGAGUAAAAGAACUACGUUCUAGAAAACUUGACAUACUGGGAAAGUCACUUCUCAGCCUGAGCUGAAAUGAGCUCGGGUGAACAGUCAAAUUGAAUUUAUUUAAAAAAAAUCUAAUUUUCUUAUGACGAACAUUGAAAAAUGUUCUAAGAGCUUGCAAAAUUUCAUCAUGGAAUCACAUUUGAGGUUGUCGCGACAGUAAAAAUUCAGUAUUCUAAAAUGCUUUCAAACGUAGCAUUUUUAGAGUAUCGGUUUUAUUUUUUGCCACGCCUUCCAGGAAUGUGAUUCCAUGAUGAAAUUUUGCAAGCCCGUAGAACAAUUGUCAAAAAUAAUUCAGAAUUUUUUAAUGUGUUUUGAUUUUUUUUAUUUUACCGUUCACCUGGGCUCAUUUGAGCUUGGCUGAGAAACUCCGCGUCCGACAUACUGUUCAUCUUAUAGCACACCCCACCACAUAGCAUUUUCCAUUUGAAGCAUUUUGCAUUUCUUGUAAAUUUUGAAGGCUGAGUUGCACUUAGCUGCACACAUGAAGGCGACAAUGGUGCCAGGGAUGCUAUGACCACAAAUUCCAGGAAUACCAGCAGUAAUGUGGUGAUGAAUUCAAACUCCCAUUGAUCCAUCAUUCCAUAUCAAAAGUCUUAACUUAUGUAGUACAUAACCAUUAUGGCAUACCUUCCACUAGGAAAAAGUAUGAAUGUACAAAAAAGUAGAUAAAAUAUUUAGAAUUUUCACAACCGCAUCUCUUAGUUUUGAUCCACACAUUGUUGGCUACGCAUGUUUUGUGAAAAAAGUAUGGAUAUUGGGAUGGAAUUCUAUAUGCAUGCUGACAUGUGUCUCUUUAUACAUAAAGUCAAUGGCGGAAUUCAGAAUCUGAAGGAAAGACAAUGCUAGAUUUUAGGCAGUCAUGACAAGAUGCAAAUUAAGCUCAAAGCAAGUCGUAUUCAAACACAAAUUAGUUCCUUUCAAGCCUUUUCUCAAAGCAAGAAGGCAUGUUUGAGGAACUCCAUUUUUAUUUUAUUUGGGGAAAGAAACUGUUUCCUUGAUAAUCAUCAGAAAUCACACAUAUAACAAUUCCAUCAACCAUUGCAGAUCUACUCAAUCUCAGAACCGUGCUGAUUCUUGCAAGACAAACUAGUUUUUGAAAUGCAUGAAUAUAUUUGCAAUUUCAUAAUAAUUUUUUGACUGAACAAACCUUUUUGAAGCAUUGAUUUUCGAAAUUUGAGAACAAUUUCUGAAGUGGUGAACUUUUUUCAAAUUUUGGUGAACAUAUUAAAUAAAUUCAUGCCAACAUUUUCAAAUUCGCCAACAUUUGUUUCAAAUUCAUGAACAUUUUUUGCAUAUGUUAACUUUUUUUCGAAAUUGUGAACAUUGUUUGAUUUCCCGUUUUUUUAAAUCAAAAUCAUGACUAUUUUCUUGAAUUCCGAACAUUUUAUGAGGUUCUGAAUAUUCUUUUAGUUUUUGAAAUUUUUUCAAAAACAUCAUCUUUUUUUAUUUCCCUAAUGUGUUUUACAAUUAGGAACUUUUUGAAUUCCUUAAUAAAUUUGAACAUAAAAAUACGAAAAACAAAAACCGGAAUGAAGGGAGGAGCUGCGGGUGCGCGCGCUGUGUGUCCAGCCUGUUAUGCGGAAAAGAAAACCCUAUUUGCCGCUCUUUGCAAUAAGUUGUUGCGGUUUCGCAUAAACGAGCGAGCGACCUUUCGGGGUGGGCCGACCCGUUUAGAGUUGCAGCGAUACCGGUUUUGGGAACAUUUUAUGAUGUUUCUAGCCUAUUUAUUCUCGUUUAGGGAACGUUUUAUCUUUUUCAUUUAAUAUUUUUCUCUUCUUUUUCGUUUUUUUCAUUUUUUCCUUUUCUUGCCUUUUUUCUUUUCUUCCACCUUUUCAUUUUUCUUUUUCAAAAUUAUUUUCAGUUUUUCAACAAAUGUUCCGGAAUUUAGGAAAUGUUUGAAUUUUCCUAAUUUUGUUCACAUUUUAGAAAAAUGGUUCUGUUUUCAAAUUUUGUUCAGAAAUUUAAAAAAAGUUCGGUAUUUCAAAAAUUAUUUGCCUGUUUUCAGAAAAUGAUUGCAUUUUAAAAUUUUGUUCACAAACUAAAAACUCAAGGAUUUCAAAAGCUUGUUCCCAUUAUUCAAAAUUUGUACGCACAUUCAUAAAAUGUUCAUGCUUUUUAAUUUGUUCACAAACUCAGAAUAUGUUUGCAUUUUAAAAAUAUUUGGAAAUAAAAAUGUUCCCGUUUUUCAAAAUUUUCACAAAUUAAACAAAAUGUUAUGUUUUCGAAAUUGGUUCACGAAUUAAAAAAUUGUUCAUGUUUGCAAUUUUUUUACCAAAUCAGAAAAUCUCCGGGGGGAAUUUUGAUGCUUUUUAUUUUUGUAAAAAUUGUUCAUAAUUUCGAAGAAAACGUUCAUGUUUUCUCUUUUGUUUAUUGAUUUUCAAAAAAUGUUUACAAAAGUUUAUGUUGGAAAUUUCGCGAACUGGUUUUGAAGUUUUGUCGCCGCUGUUAGGUUCUUUAAGAUUCGUGUUGUAGUUCUUUCAGAUGGGGACUUGGUCUCGGUGGCUAGCGCAGCGUUUGCAUCUUCACGAGAUGGUGGGUUCGAUCCCUAACUUGAACUGUUUUGCGAAAUUUUACCGCGCCAAGCGAAUGCACCUCUAAUGGGCCGACCCAGGGUAAGCUGCGCCCUGUGCGAAGCCGCGAUGCCCGAUGGAGCCCAAAGUGUGCUCUAUGGGCCGGCCCCUUUAGCGAAUAUUUUUUUCGCCCGCUGUUCUCACCUGGUUUUUAUGGUUAUCUGUAGUGUUGACCACGUUUAUAGUUGACUUUUAGCGGACUAUUAUGUAUAUGAAAAAAAGUUUGUGGAUAUGAAAAGGUUUAUUUUCUAAAAUAAAACCUCAAAUUUGAAAAAAACAUUCAUAAUUUUGAUAAAGUUCAUGAAUUAAAAAAACACAAUUUCGAAAAGAAUCAUGAUUUUGGACAAAUUUAAUAAUUAGUGGGAAGUGAUUCUGUUCGGCCGGCUGAAAACGCGUCGCGCGUCCACCACCUUCUCUAAGCUACACAUGUCUAUGUUGGCCCAUGAACUUUAUCUCCUCCCCUUCCCAAUCUUAUCGCACCUUCUUUCUUCUUCAAAGGUACUACACACCUGCAACGACCAUGGCUAGAUGGAGCGCGCGUGUGUGCUACGGGGUGCGGCCGUGGCUGGGCUGCACACGCGCGGCGCAGAGGGCCCGCCCUGAGCUUGUGCUUCUCCAUGUACAUGGCCAUGGUGUCCAGGCUCGAAUAUAGAGAUGCCUUUUUGUUUUGCAACAACGCCUUUUGAUGUGGCUUUUUGCAACAUCUGCAAUGUUACAAAUGUCGGCGACGAAUGACGGUUGUGGUUUUGCGACAUGCAUCGACAAUGGUAGCAGUGCUUCUGCACAUCAUUUCGUUGCAAAAAUUUCUACAACAUUCCCUAUGCAGCUAAAGUUCUUCCGCAACAUCAGUGGUGUUGUGAAAAAAAGUGAGAAAAAAAUCUGCAACAUGUCCUCUGUUGCAAAAGUUUUGUGCAACAUGAGCUAAUGGGCCGGCCCAGGGUAAGCUGCGCCCUGUGCGAAGCCGCGAUGCCCGAUGGAGCUCAAAGUGUGCUGUAUGGGCCGGCCCCUUUAGCGAAUAUUUUUUUCGCCCGCUGUUCUCACCUGGUUUUUAUGGUUAUCUGUAGUGUUGACCACGUUUAUAGUUGACUUUUAGCAGACUAUUAUGGAUAUAUAAAAAAGUUGUGGAUAUGAAAAGGUUUAUUUUCUAAAAUAAAACCUCAAAUUUGAAAAAAAAACAUUCAUAAUUUUGAUAAAGUUCAUGAAUUAAAAAAACACAAUUUCGAAAAGAAUCAUGAUUUUGGACAAAUUUAAUAAUUAGUGGGAAGUGAUUCUGUUCGGCCGGCUGAAAACGCGUCGCGCGUCCACCACCUUCUCUAAGCUACACGUGUCUAUGUUGGCCCAUGAACUUUAUCUCCUCCCCUUCCCAAUCUUAUCGCACCUUCUUUCUUCUUCAAAGGUACUACACACCUGCAACGGCCAUGGCUAGAUGGAGCGCGUGUGUGUGCUACGGGGUGCGGCCGCGGCUGGGCUGCACACGCGCGGCGCAGAGGGCCCGCCCUGAGCUUGUGCUUCUCCAUGUACAUGGCCAUGGUGUCCGGGCUCGAAUAUAGAGAUGCCUUUUUGUUUUGCAACAAUGCCUUUUGAUGUGGCUUUUUGCAACAUCUGCAAUGUUACAAAUGUCGGCGACGAAUGACGGUUGUGGUUUUGCGACAUGCAUCGACAAUGGUAGCAGUGCUUCUGCACAUCAUUUUCGUUGCAAAAAUUUCUACAACAUUCCCUAUGUAGCUAAAGUUCUUCCGCAACAUCAGUGGUGUUGUGAAAAAAAGUGAGGAAAAAAAUCCGCAACAUGUCCUGUGUUGCAAAAGUUUUGUGCAACAUGAGCUAUGUUAUAAAAGGUUUCUGCAACAAGACUUUUAUUGCAAAAGUAGAGGAUGACAGUCAGCCGCUAGAUUGUUCUAUAUCUGAUGGUGCACGAGGCGGCGAAUCUUUAUAAAAAAAAUCCGCCGGCCAAUGCAUAGCACUCCCCAUAAUUAGUAAGAAUUUCACAAAUUUUGAAAAAGUUCAUGGCGCGAACUGUUUUUGCAAAAUUUUACCUCACGAAUCGAAGACACCGCAAAUGGGACGGUCUAGGGUAAGUUGUCCCCUGUGUGUCACAUCCCUAGUUCUGGUAUGACCUAGACUAGCUACUCAUGUGUGCAUCAUGUUUAAAUUUCAAUGAAUUUGAAAUGGGGACAUGUGAAAGCCUCAGAAAUCAUUUCUGAAAAUGACCAAGAUAAAAAUUGCUUCAAAUAGGUCUAAGAAAAUGUUCAUGUUUCUCUAUGAAAAUAUUGGACAGAGGUAAAAUUCAAACCAAUAUUUUCAGAAGCUCAUCAAUAUUUAUUUUGGACAUUUGAGUUAAUUCAAUAAUUGUUUGCAUUGGAGUUAUAUUUGUUAUAUAUUAAAUAUAACUCCAAUAACUCUGAAAGUUGGUAAGUGGCUUUGAAUACUUUUUAAAUGGCCACAUAGUAAUUUUCAGAAGUUUAUGAAAUGAUCUGGUAUUUAAAUAAAAUCAAAACCAAUUGCAGAAAAUAGAAAACAUAAAUAAAUAGAAAACCAGAGAGAGAGAAAACCUACCUGGCGCCUACCUGUGCGGCCUGCUGCUCAAGCCGGCCCAGCCCAUCUCCACCUCCCCUGUCGUCUUCCUCCUUUUGCCAGGAGGACGAAGGGCGCGUGCCCAGCCCGCGACACCACACGCCGGCGGGGUUGACCCUCUUUAACCGAGGUUUGACCUAUUGGGGAUCGUUGCAGAAAUUAAAACAUUUCUACGCAUCACCAAGAUCAAUCUAUGGAGAAACUAGCAACGAGAGAGAGGGGAGUGCAUCUUCAUACCCUUGAAGAUCGUGAUGCGGAAGCGUUACAAGAACGCGGAUGAAGGAGUCGUACUCGCAGCGAUUCAGAUCGCGGUUGAUUCCGAUCUAAGCGCCGAACAACGGCGCCUCCGCGUUCAACACACGUACAGUCCGGGGACGUCUCUUCCUUCUUGAUCCAGCAAGGGAAGAGGAGAAGUUGAGGGAGAGCUCCGGCAGCACGACGGCGUGGUGGUGGAGCUUGCAGUUCUCCGGCAGGGCUUCGCCAAGCACUACGGAGGAGGAGGAGGUGUUGGGGAGGGAGAGGGCUGGGCCAGCGGAAGGGGUGCGGCUCCCAUGCGCCUCCCCACUAUAUAUUGGGGUGGAGGGGGCUAGUUACUUGCCCUCCAAGUCCAUUGGGGCGUUGGCAAAGGUGGGGGAAAGAAAUCUCAUCAUUUCCCUUCCCCACCGAUUGUUAUCCCCCUUUUUUAGGGAUCUUGAUCUUAUCCCUUCGGGAUAUGAUCUUAUUCCUUCUAAGGGGGGAUCUUGGUGCGCCUUGACCAGGGGUGUGGGGCCUUGCCCCCACUACCCACGUUCAUGUGGGUCCCCCGUGCAGGUGGGCCCCACUCCGGAACCUUCUAGAACCUUCCCGGUACAAUACCGAAAAAUCCCGAACAAUUUCCGGUGGCCAAAAUAGGACUCUCAUAUAUAAAUCUUUACCUCCGGACCAUUCCGGAACUCCUCGUGACGUCCGAGAUCUCAUCCGGGACUCCGAACAACAUUCGGUAACUGCACACUAAUUCCCAUAACAACUCUAGCGUCACCGAACCUUAAGUGUGUAGACCCUACGGGUUCGGGAAUCAUGCAGACAUGACCGAGACAGCUCUCUGGCCAAUAACCAACAGCGGGAUCUGGAUACCCAUGUUGGCUCCCACAUGUUCCACGAUGAUCUCAUCGGAUGAACCACGAUGUCAGGGAUUCAAUCAAUCCUGUAUACAAUUCCUUUGUCAAUCGGUACGUUACUUGCCCGAGAUUCGAUCGUCGGUAUCCCAAUACCUCGUUCAAUCUGGUUACCGGUAAUUCACUUUAGUCGUUUUGUAAUGCAUGAUCCCGCGACUAACUACUUAGUCACAUUGAGCUCAUUACGAUGAUGCAUUACUGAGUGGGCCCAGAGAUACCUCUCCGUCAUACGGAGCGACAAAUCCCAGUCUCAAUUCGUGCCAACCCAACAGACACUUUCAGAUAUACCUGUAGUGUACCUUUAUAGCCACCCAGUUACGUUGUGAUGUUUGGUACACCCAAAGCAUUCCUACGGUAUCCAGGAGUUGCACAAUCUCAUGGUCUAAGGAAAUGAUACUUGACAUUAGAAAAGCUUCUAGCAAACGAACUAUACGAUCUUGUGCUAUGCUUAGGAUUGGGUCUUUUCCAUCACAUCAUUCUCCUAAUGAUGUGAUCCCGUUAUCAACGACAUCCAAUGUCCAUGGUCAGGAAACCGUAACCAUCUAUUGAUCAACGAGCUAGUCGACUAGAGGCUCACUAGGGACAUGUUUCGGUCUAUGUAUUCACACAUGUAUUACGAUUUCCGGAUAACACAAUUAUAGCAUGAACAAUAGACAAUUAUCAUGAACAAGGAAAUACAAUAAUAACCAUUUUAUUAUUGCCUCUAGGGCAUAUUUCCAACAUGACCUCCCCUGGCUCACUGACGUGUGGGCCCAAGGCCCUGACUAAUUAGUGUUAGGAUUAAAUUAGGGUUAGCUAACUUGGUUAACUAGAUGUGACACUCACAUGCGGGUCCCAUUAGUCAGUUUGACCUGGCCAGCGUCUGUUGAGUUGCUGAUGUCACACUAAUGUCAGGCUGACACAGUAAAUCAUUUUCUGUAUUAAAAGUAAUUCAGAAAUUCCAGAAAAUAGUUAAAAAAUUUAAAAAUCAUAGAAAAUAAUCUAUAGCUCAGAAUGAAAAGAUUUAUAUAUGAAAAAUUAUCAGAAAAAUCCAAUCUAUCUGUUUAUGGCAUUUUCAUGCAUGUUUGAACAACUUAUUCCUGCUGAUCAGGUCAAAUCAAUUAAAUGGCAUUUAAACAAUUACAUAUGGAGUUUGAUUUUAAACCUAGGGUUCAAACCAACUUCAUUUAAAUCGUUGCUAGUUGCAUUAGCUCAAAGCAGAGCAUGUUGCCAUGUCAUGAUCAUGCAUCAUAUUGUUGCAUUGCAUUGAUUGUGUUUAUUCUUUGUUUGUCGGUGCUUGUCCCCUCUUAGUAGACGAGGUUCCGACGAUGAGUUCGAUGACACCGAUGAAGAGCUAUACUAUCUUCAGAAGUGCCAGGCAAGCAAAACCCCCUUGUUCAUUCCGAUACAAACCCACUCUAUCGCUUCUGCUCUCUUUUACUGCAUUAGGACAACAACGAUUCAACGGUUACAUGUUGCAGUAGUUGAACCCCUUUCCUCUGCAUGACCUGUCAUUGCCACAGUAAAUAGGUGAAACCCACUAGCAUGAGUAGGAGUUGUUUGAGCCCUGAUGUGCCUACUCAUUCAUGCUUGUUGUCAUGCCUGCUACUGCUUAGAUUUGAGUCAGGUCUGAUUCAUCGGGGAUGAAUUGGUAUGUGGUGAACAUGUCCUACUGUUGAGAGCUAAGUGUGUGAACACGAUUUGGUAAAGGUAGCGGUGAGAUGCCAUGUCGGAGUACAUGGUGGGUUGUCUCAUUGAAACCGUCCUCAGGAACUGAGUUCUGUGUUUGUGAUCCAUGAACAGCUACUACCACACGUUGGGCCCUGAAAUAUGACCCCGCUCGACUUAUUAACCCCCAUGUCCUCUGUCCAGGAGUUGCAAGUAGUUUCUGGUGUUUGUACUAUGCUGGAGGUCGUGCGCAGCGCUGACCCGAGGGGUGGGCUGUGAUGCGGUAGGCACAUGGCACGGUGUACCGGGAUGCCCGUUUGGUGCCUCGAGAACCCUGCACACAUUGUUCGGGGCUGUAAGUGGAAACCUCGGCCGGACUCCCUUCGGAUGGAACCUGAAUAGGCGAUAAACCUCGAAUAGGGACUUGUGUGGUUAGUCAGGUCAUGGUCUACACCCACGUCGGCUUUCGCUUGAAGUCCGCCGAGCACAUGUCGUGUGUAGACGCUAAGUGGUGGAAACAUGUGUGAAGAAGUACACCCCUGCAGGGUUAUAAAUGAUCUAUUCGAAUAGCCGCGUCUGCGGUAAAGGACCUCUGGGUUGCCUAUACAGUUCAUAGACAAGUGAAAGUGGAUACUCUAAAAUGCGCAAGAUAAGCGUGAGUACUAUGGAUGGCGUUCUUGUAGGAAGACGGGAGCGGACCCAUAGUGGUGUAUUGAUUGGUGAAUAUGUGGAAUCGUGUGCGCCACCUCAAAAGAGUUACUUGCAGUCCUAGUUUAGGAUAGCUACCGAGUCAAAGCUGGCUUGCUGCAGUUAAACUCCACUACCCCUUUGUUGAUACCGAUGCAUAUGUAGUUAGUUCUGAUGUAAGUCUUGCUGGGUACAUUUGUACUCACGUUUGCUUAAUUUAUAUUUUUGCAGAGAGACUUCAGUCUCGCUAGUAGUUCCGUGUGGACUUCGACGUUUAGCUUGUUAACUCAGCUACGAUCUUGUGCCCUCGACAGGGUCUUGUAGAUAGUCAGGCUUCUCAGCCUUUUCUUUUGUAGUUGUCUGUACUCAGACAAGUUAAGCUUCCGCUUGUGCUUGUUGCUUGUAUGACUUGAAUGCUGGGUCAUCAGACCCAUGUUUGUAAUACUUGGCUCCUCGAAGCCUAAUAAAUAAAUACUUUGAGUCAUAGAGUUAUGUUGUGAUGCCAUGUUGUAUUUGCACACAUCGAGCAUAUUGUGUAUAUGAUUUGAAAUGCUUGGUAUGUGUGGGAUCCGACAACCUAGUUGUUUAUCCUUGGUAACCUCUCUUACUGGGAAAUGUCUCCUAGUGCUUCCACUGAGCCAUGGUAGCUUGCUACUGCUCCGGAACACUUAGGCUAGCCGGCAUGUGUCCUUCUUCGUUCCUGUGCGUGUCCCUUCGGGGAAAUGUCACGCGGUGUCUACCGGAGUCCUGUUAGUCUGCUACAACCGGAUUCUCCGGAGUCAUGUUAGCCUAGCUGCUACAACCCGGAUUCACUCGCUGAUGACCGACACAUUCGUUGCUGGGUCAUGUAUGCCUGUCCCUGUAAGUUAGUGCCACUUUGAGUUUACGACUAGUCAUGUCGGACCGGGUUCUUUGUCAUAUGGAUGCUAGCGACACUAUCAUAUACGUGAGCCAAAAGGCGCAAACGGUCCCGGGCCAGGUAAGGUGGCACCCGUGGGAAUACCGUGUGUGAGGCCGCAAAGUGAUAUGAUGUGUUACAUGCUAGAUCGGUGUGAUUUAGGACCGGGGUCCUGACACUGUGCGAAGCCGCGAUGACCUAUAGAGCCCGAAGGCUGCUGUAUGGGUCGGCCCCUGUAGCGAAUGUUUUUUUCGCCCACUAUUCUCACCUGGGUUUUUAUGGUUGAUCUGUAGAGUUGACGUUUACAGUGGACUUUUAAGAGAAUAUUAUGGAUAUCAAAAAGGUUUGCAGAUUUGAAAAAAUUGUUUUUUAAAUAAAACCUUCAUAAGUUCGAUAAAGUUCAUGAAUUUGAAAAAAUAUCACAAUUUUGGAAAAAAAUACGAAUUUGGAAAAUUUCAACAAUUGUGAAAAAUUCACAAAACUUAAAUAAGUUCAAAAUUUUGAAAAACUUCAGAAAUUUGGGAAGGUUUGCGGAGUAAAAAAAUUCACUAAUUUCAAAACAUAAUAACCAAAUAAAACCGAAGAAAACCCGGUUUUGAAAACAAAAAUAAAAUAAUAGAAAAUAGGCCGGAAGCUCUCAAAAGUUUCCCAGAACUAGGAGAGAGCUUCCCCGCUCGAGCGCUCGUGUUACUUAUAUGGGCUGGCCCAUUUGUAGUCUAUCAGUGGUUCGGGUUGUGUGUUGUGUACGAUUAAGCCUAUAACUGAUGCUAUGGGUGCCAAAUAGGAAUUUCCUCUAACCCGCAACAAGCAAGAUAUAGCUUUUGCGGCCCUGCGAUGUUAGGCAGACCAAUUAUCAUGAAAUUGUAAAAGGACUUGAAAACACAAAAAUGUUCGCCACCCAGAAAGAAAAUGCACGAAGAAACUUAGACUAGUUACAUAGCACGACCCAAAUAACACCAACAAAUCUACCCCGUCCUGAAUCUCUACACCUUAGAUUUGUGCUCAUGGAAUUAACUAAUAUUUAACUAAAGACAACUGUAACGACAGGCGCUUAUUGUGUGGACACUAAUACAAAUAAGAUAUGAAUAUUAUAAAAUUACCUGCCCUCUCUCUCAGGACGGGACACUAAUUAUAGAUGCAACACCGUCGUUCGACCGGUGUAUUCGCUGCAAACCUUGUACGGAAAAGGGCAACCAUCGUUGACAUUAAUGCUACAUAUACGGGCUUUUUGUUUACACAGGAUUACAGAGGAGGUGAUUUGGACGCGUACUAUUAGUUGGUGGAUGGGCCCUUCACCAGAAAUUCAGAGAGGAGAGACUAUUGACAAAUUACACACUGUCUGCGGUAUAACAACCCCGUAAAGCCAUGUACAUUUAGGAUUACUAGCACCAAUGCCCGUGGGUUGCAACGGGAAAAAACAACGAUUCGUAUAAACCACGUUGCCGAGCUGAGAAACUGUAUCGUGGGACAAUGAUCGCCGAUGAGAAAAAGGCGUUGAAUCAUUUGAGGACGACAACAAUCAAACCAACCUAGAAUAACAAUUGCAACACCAACAUCAGCAAGCAAACCAACCUAGAUGGAAACUAAUUCAGGAAAACUUCCAUAAUUUAACAUAUCUACUUGGUCAAAUGCAACUUUAUCAUGCAAACCUAAAAAGUUUAGUAAAUAAUCAGUCAUUGACUUCACAUGGAAUUAAAUUGCAUAUGUAGGUAAACUGUAAUUGCGGCCAAUGAAUUGCGGACUCUAGAUGGAAGUAGCAAAACCCACAUGGAAGCAAGCAAAGAAAUCAUCUAAACAAAGGUGGGAAAAAAAGAGUGUGGAUAAAAAUCACUGGUGGAAGACUUACCUUUGGUUCGAGGGUUAGUGGAUACAGUCAGAUAUUUUAUGUACUUUUUUGUUUUGUAAUCCAGUCACAUGUAAUCGAUCGAUUUUAUUAUAACAGCUAUGUUUUUGGAGUCUCCUGUGAGAGAACCCGUGUUGCCAUAUAUGCAUGCCCCACAAGAAUCUGUAGCCAUUCAUUUAAUUAACUCGUCAUUAUGAUUAGCCAAUCAUAAUUAUCUGCGUCAUGCACGUCUCUCAGAAAUUGCCAUAUACUCUGUUUAAUUAGCCCAACAUUAAUUAGCCAAUCAUAAUUAUAUGCAGUAUGAUGUCUCGUCUCUUGGGAAUCCCACUCAAUUAGCCCACCGUUAAUUACCUUAAUCUGUUUUAUUAGCCCACCAUUAAUUAACCAAUCAUAAUUAUAUGCAUCAUGUAUCUCUCUCGGGAAUCCCAUUCAAUUAGCCACCUUUAAUUACCUCAUUCUCUUCCUUCCUUAUCUCUUUUUCUCACGUUUUUUCUUUCCUUAUUAUCUCUGGGCCACGUUGUUCGAAAUCACAAAUCCUCUCAAUCUUUCCUUAUUGAAACCCAACACGUAGGACACGACCGAUGAGCGAUUACAAAAGAGAACUGUCCGCUUUUCUUUCAGGCAACAGGUGCUAAAUUGGUUGGUUAACGCGUGCGGGCCUAUAUCUCGCCAACCCGGGUUCGAUUCCCAUCUAGCACAAUUUAUCUUUUGGAAGCAACGUACACACAAAUGGGCGGUGUGUCAAAAAAAACCACAACGUACGAAAGUGCAAACGACCGACAAAAGGAGGACGGCGUACAAAAACACUAAUGGACAAAAAAUAGUGGAGAAACAAUUCAUCCUUUAAUACUCCCUCCGUCCCAUAAUAUAGGUAAGAUAAAGAUAAAGAUUUCCUGACUAUGGGAUCGAAACUACAACUACCAAAGAGUGACCUCUGUUUUAAACCCUGAGGUAGAACUACAAUUAGGUAAGAUGAAAUUGGUACCCUCAACUUGCUGAUCCCGAUCAAUUUGGACCUUAGAUCCGUUUGCUGCACCGGGAAAAAGAAGAUCCAGGCCGGGAUCAGUCGCUACUCUCACUGAGGCGGGGCAAGUUGGUGCUUGAGGGAAGGGCCAGGAUGAUGGGCCUCGAGGCGGAGGCGGCGCGGCGACGCGCCUAGGAGGGUCACUUACGCAUUGCGAUUGCGGCCGCCCGCCGCCGUACGGUGCGAGGUGGCGGCUCCCUGCGUCCACGUGCUCCGGUGGCUCAAGGCGUGCGCGCGCGAUGAAAGGAAGAUGCCGGACCCUCCCGUGGACGCCGAGGUGCAAGUGCCCAUGAGACAACGCCAGUGCGUGACCGCGGCCACCGGGAGGAUUCGCUGACUAGCCGUGCUCGGUUCCUACGUGCCUCCCCCACCACCGCGUCGUCCUGACUCGCGCAUGGCACAGGACCGUCAUCUACAACAAUCGGCAUUCUAAGGCGCACCCACACCGAGCCAAAGCCAUGGACCGACGGACGGGGUUGCAGCUCAGGUGGCUAGCAGCUGGGGUGCGGGUUGGCGUGCACGGCACGCGCGUACAACACGCAAAGAGCGGCUUAACUACAGGGGUUAGUGCACGCAGAGAGAGAAAGAAAUUGGAAUAGGGGUGGUGAGCGUGCACUGCGUGGCCAUCGCGUGCUCAGCGCGGCAUGCACUCUGACGGACUACUCCUAGAGAAAUCAAUCAACCUGUAUGUUUGCUUCCGAGCAACUCUAGUUUUGAACAUAUGUCUAUCUACUAUCAUUAAUCGAUCUAGAAUCCUAAGUUCCUAACAGCAACAACGUCUUGGCGAUGGAGGCCGUCCAUGAAGCCGAUCGAAACGUGCGGCAUUCGCCUUGGCCUCCACCGACGGCAUGUGCAAGGUCGGGAGCAUCGUAGAUGGCCACAUCCCCGUCGCUUCUGUUGUCGCACGCAGACGAGCGGUUCGCACGAGCUCGUUUCGGGAGCUGGCUAUGUGAUCGGUAAGAGACAGGGAGGGGAAAGAGAUCGAGGAAGGAGUAUAUGGCAGGUAGGCCCGUGUGGUCAGUGAGACAAACAAGGGAUCCCGGACAGGAUUGUCCUUCCAAACAGGUCUAGGGGCGGUUUAGGGUUAUAAUUGAUCGGGAUCGAUGAGGUCAGGGUACCAACUUCAGGGAUUUAGAGGUGAAGGUUUAUUUCCGUCGUGGUCUACAAUCUCAGGGUUAAAAACAGACUUCACUGGUUGACAAUUACCUGGCGCCAUCCACUAGCGCCCAAUGAUGGAGAUGGCCAAAUACAUACCUAAUUGACAAUUACCAAAUAUGAGAAAAACAUGCACUCCUUUUAAUUUAUCUAUAUUCUUAUAAAUUUUUAUUUAUUACCACCCCUUAAAAAAUAUUGAAAUGACUCAGACAACACAAACAAGCAAACCCAAUGGUUGGGUGCUCUGUUCAGACUGUAGGAUUCUACGGCAGGGCGGGUCGACUACAAAUUAAAAAUUUCUACCCACAGAACAUCCAGGAACACACUACAAGAGAUGGAUCACGGAUCGUUACCACUAGACGUGCAAUGCCGUGCAGCAGAAGUAGAUUUGGGGCAGCGCGUCUCCGGAGUCGUCUCCGCCUCGAUCUCCCAGGUAGCCGAUCGGAUCGCAUGAACAGGUUCGACGGAGCGGCACAAGUAUACCGCCUCUAACGGUAUCCGCACGUGCAGGAGGAACACCGUGCGGCGGACUGCUAGUUCCAUCUGCUAGUUCCAUCAAACAGCCGACAGCGAGUGGAGGUGGCUAGUUGCAACACAUGCAAGGCCCUAGUGGAGACGCCACAGCAAUCAACUGAAACGGUAUGUCGCACCUCCACUAUAUAUAGGCAUCCGUCCCGGGCUCAACACUUGGGCCUUGCAUGGAUUCUAAAGCCCAAAGUUUGUUCGGCAUGGAUCCUAGUCCGAGUGGGAUCACAUCUGACUCGUGGAGUCGGAUCCAGCCUUACAGGUUCCUUCACUUAAGUGCGCGACCCCUUAGGUUCAAGUCAUCUUGGUCGCAGGUUGGAUCACCUCCGACUUGCUCGGUUGGUAGCGGCAUCUAGCAAGGCGUGACGACCACCAAGUAGACAAUGAAGCCGGUUGGCUUACCUGUACAACAUGUCACACUUCUAUUCUCUUUGCCACACGAUAUAUGUUGUCGGGCUCAAGGCGAGUCGGUCAUCUUUGUACUAGCCCGACCUAUUUCUCGUUCUAGUGAUGCCGACAACGAACCGGAUUAUCUCAUAAUCCUUGUCGCAUGGCCAUGCUUAUCCAGGUUGAAUCACACGAGGGCCCCAGAGUAUAUCUCUCCUGAUUGGAGGGGCAAAUCCCAUCUUGCUCGACCAUGUCUCGUAGCAUGGGUCUGGACAAGUCGAAAAUCUACAUUUAUAACUACCCAGUUAUGGAGUAGCGUUUGGUUGGCCAAAGCAGGUCUGUCACCAUCCCGAGUACAUGCGCCAGCUCAGGUGUUAGGACAUAGAAUGUAUGUUGUACUAGGGACUCACAUAUGACCUAUCGCCGCAUAUCAUAGUCGGGUCUGUACAACUUGGACCUUAUCUGGAUCGUAUGUCGAAUCCGACCAGAUCUUUGUGAGUCCAUACUAUCCGGAUAGCAUCCAAUUCUCCAUGGCCAAUGAGACCAAGCCAUCCACCGUGUCAUAUGCUAGUCUAGUCGGCUGUGCGUGCAGACAACCCUUUCGACUAGGGACUUUUUAAGGCAGUCAUCAUAUAAUGCCUAGUCCCACAAACAAGUCAUGUGCUUGCUGAUACACAUCAUUGAUAAUGUCCAAGAACUAUCUUUAUUCACAAACACAUAGGAAGAAGCAUCAUACAUGAUUUCCACUAGGGCAUAUCUCCAAUAGUCUCUCACUUACACUAGAGUCAAUCAAAUAGACAUUUAAUUCCCAUAGCUCUGACGUGCCCCUCAUGCUUGGGUUGUGGAAGCGACUUAGUGAACGGUUCCGCAACAUUUCCAUCCAUGUGAAUUUUGCAUAACUCUAUAUCACCACUCUUUUACGAUCUUCUGCAUGAGGUGAUAUUUUCAAUCUAUGUGUUUGGUCUUGUGGUGGUUCCUCGGCUCCUUGACUUGUGCGAUGGAACCAAAACUAUUACAAUAAAGGUCCAGUGGUUUUACCAUUGCUGGAAAAAUACCAAGAACAUUCAGAAAGUUCAAGAUCCAAGCACCUUCCUUUGCAGCUUCACAAACCACUAACGACCACAACACCCGCGGGGAGAGGGGUCACAUAUUCGCGGGCACAACCCGGACUGAGCCCACCAUCACCUACCCGGAGUGAAAACUCUAACCCGCCUCGGGCCCUAAUCAGAUCUGCCCGAGCACGGACCCCAAGUCCAGGUCAUCUCCGUCGCGCAAGCAGCGGGCGCCACCGACGUGGACCCAAGAGAAGGGAGGAACCACUACCAUGCACACCACGCUGUCAACCGCCACCGCCCGAGCCACCAUGACCACAUCGACGACCGCUGCAACCACGCCCCUGGCCUGCCGCAGCCAGCUGAGGCCGCUAGACCGAGCCACCACGAGCAAGGACUACUACUUCGGAGCCCCCACCAUGCAAUCAUCGUCGCAGCAGAGGCCGACCUGUGCUGCCCAUGACCCUCGUUAGAGAGGCAGCUACCUGUCAGAUUUCGCCGAGGCCCCACUACCGCCACAACCACCUCCGGGCGCUCCACUACCCACCACGCGGCCUAUGCCACAACCGUCGCACAGGCGCCCGCCACUACACCUACACGCCGGCCCCUGCACGCGAGGGGACGAGGAAGCCCCGCUGCCGCCGGCUCCAGUCGAGCUUUGCCCACCUGAGUCCUGUGGCCGCGGCUAGGGAGGAGGGGCGGGGAACCUGGUGGCGGCAGACUAGGGUUACCUCCCGGCUGCCGCGGGAGGCGUUGGAGGAAAGAGAAUCUCCGAUCAUAUUACCAUUCACCGCCAAAUUUGUUUAUCAUUAUCACCCAUCUUAAAAAAUACUGAAAAUGUCUGUAUUACCACUUUUGAUACAGGCAGAGAAGAUGCGCGGGCUGGCGCAGUCAAUUUCCGGCAGCCAGUCGAGUCUCAUCAGUUGCAAGAAGGUAAAUGUUCGAACUAUAUAUGCCGGUAGCGGAAAGAAGCUUUAUAUAACACCUCACCUAUGCUUAGUGCGACGCACGAUCAUAGUACUGCCACCCCACUAAAGACUGAAAGUACGUGUAUGCCACAACCAUGCAACAGUCGAGCAACCAAACAGCCAGAGCCUCUCUUUUAUGAAAUGGCUUCCAUCGAUGUCUCAUUCUACAUCUUUUGUGGCAGCCCGUGUGAGGUAACGCAACAAACCAACAGAUCAGCCCGUGUAAACUCCGCGUCUUCCCCACGAUGACAACCUCGUCUCGAUCGUCUCAUCGUCCCUCCUGCAUGACGCGCCGCCUUCUGACGCCAUGCAAGCGAGCCCUCGCGCGGCUCUUCCGCAUCCCGGCCUCCGCCGCCCUCUCUAUCAGGGCCUUCCGGUUCCGCAAUCUCCGCAAGUCCACCGCCAAGAUGAGCCCCCGCCACCGGCGCCGUGCCGGCCGAAGCUUCCGCUCGGUCCGCGCGGUGUUCUGGCCGUUAAUCCCUCCGUCUUCCACGCCGGCAACCUCGACAGAGAGCCAUACCGCGCGCAGGGUAGUUGCUGCGGCGGUGCCAGAGGUGCCGGUGCCGUCGCCAGAGACGCCUGCGUAUGUGAAGAUGGUGGCGCGGCUGCGGUCGAGGACGACCACGCGAAUUGGAGAGGACAAAGAGGAGGCAUGCCAGAGUUUUGAGAGCUGCCUGAUGGGGAUUUUGACGGAGGAAGGCAAAGCGCGGGACCUGCAGGACGUGGAGGAACUCCUACAGUGCUGGGAGCGGCUCAAGUCGCCGGUGUUCGUCGAUCUGGUCUGCCGGUUCUACGGCGAUCUGUGCAAGGACUUAUUCUCCUCCGCCGCCGGGGGUGAGAACGGCGGAAACACUAACCAGGACGUGGGACCAGUUUCCAUGUCGGCUGCUUUACUAGUGUAACUCGUUACCACAUCGUGUUGUAAGUUCGUAACACAAAACACUUAAUUUUACAGUUUACGCUAUGAUGGCCUUCCCUGAAAAAAAAUAUCGUAAUGGAUGUCUGGAUGGCGACGUGCAAUGGCCUGAGCUGAGCUCGAGAGCUAUGUCUCAUUUGAGACGGUAGCUUCGGGAGCAACUCGUUGACGAGCGUUUCUUCGGGAGUCUCCCAACGAUAAUUUUGGAUGGGCUGAGAGCACAUCACUUCACGCGUUGUCAUCCGCCGUCACGUGUCACGCUUUGGAUGUUUUCUCUAAUUUAUUUAUUUAUUUAUUUCACGUGUUUUCGGCUUUUUAGACUGUUUAUUUUCUGGGUUUUCUCGGCUUUUUCGUUUUUCAUCGGUCUUACUUAGCUUUUAGACAAAAAAUGAUUUUUUAUUUUACUUUUCAUGGAAAAACUUUUUUCUUCUUUCACGAGAGGCAUGAUUUUGAUUCGGCAUGAAGCACGAAUUUGCUUUCGCAAGAGGCAUGACCGUGCCUCUUCCGAACAAAAAAUAUAUUUUCUUCUUCUUUUCCCUUCCCGAGAUUAGAUAAUGCAUGACGAGGACUUGACUCUUGACUUACACAAGAACUUUAAGAAAGAAGAAAAGCUUGAAUUAUCCGAAAUGACAAGCUCCCACGGUUUUGCUUCUGUGAGAGGCACGGUUUUGCUUCCAUGAUAGACACAUCUGUGUCUCUUGGAAACGAAAAAACACGUUUUCUCUUCUUUUUUUUCCUUCCGUGAGAGGCACGGUUUUAUUUUUGCGAGAGGGGCGGCUUUGCUUUCGUGAGAGGCACGGUCAUGCCUCUCGGAAACAAAAAAAAACACGUUAUUUAUUUAUUUUUUCCUUUCACGAGAGGCAUGGUUUUUCGUGAUUUUUUUUUCGUUAAAACCUACCAACAUGGGAUUUAGUUUUGAAGAUCUCGAUGCGAGGAAUCAAACGGUGAAAACAGUUUAAGAUUUGGACGCACAGUUUAAAAGAUAAAAUAUUUUGAAUAAACGAAUUUAGAACUAAAAAGAAAAAACAUUCAAGUUGUGACAAAUGAUACACAUUCAACGUAUCACUUGUCACAAACUAAAGAAAUAAUAGUGAUCUUUGAAAAAGACUACUCCUCAUUGAUUUCCGCUAGGUUCUCUUGUCUGACCCAGCCGGCCCAUCUUUCUUUCGAUUACUGGCACCCGAAGCUCACUCAUGAGCGAUUGCUUCGCUGUUUUCAAUUUUUUUUCUUUUCUUCUCUGCUUUUUUAUAUUUUUCCCACCAGAUUUCUUUGUUACGGUUCUUUUUAAUUUUUCUGCUUUCUUUGUUUUUUCGUCGCUUUUUUUCAUUUUUUCUCAAUUUCCAUCGGUUUUUCAUUUUUUUAUUUCUUUCUUUCGCUGCUUUUAAUGGUUCUUUUGCUUUUCUUUGUUUCUUUCUUGAUUUUCAUCGGUUUUCUUUAUGUUAUUUGUUUCUUUUUCGGUUUUCUUUGUUUCAUUCUUUUACAUUCAUUUCUUCAGUUUCUCUUUUUUUGGUUUUUAUUUUUUUUAGUUUUUCUUUGUUUCUUUGUUGAUUUUCACCUGUUUCUGUUUUGUUCAGUAUGUCUUAACAUUUUUCGUACACAUUCAACAUUUUUUUAUACAUCAAAAAUAUUUUUUCAUAUACAUGUUUAACAUUUUAAAAUACAUGGUUAAGAUUUUUUAUGUCUAUCUUUUCUCCAAACACAUACAUUUUUGGUACUCCCUCCGAUCCGUAUUAUUUGCCUUAUAUUUUUCUAGAUAUGAAUGUAUGUAACACUAAAACAUGUCUAAAUACAUCCGUCUCUACACAAAUAUAAGACAAGUAAUAUAUAUUGGAGGGAGUAUAUAUCAAAUACAAUUUUUCUGAUACACAUGUAACAUCUUUCAAAUACAAGUUUAACAUUUUUUUAAUACAUGAUCAAUAUUUUUUGUACACAUAUAACACUUUCUUCAAAUACUUGAUUAACAUUUUUUAAUAUAUUGACAACUUUUUUUCUACACAUAGUAAUCAUUUUUCAAAUGCUUGAUUAACAUUUUUCGAAUACAAGGUUAACAAUAUUUUUAAUAUAUGGUCAACUUUUUUUCCUCGAUACAUUUAACAUUUUUAAAUGCUUGCUUAAUUUUUCUGAAUACUUAUUGAACAGUUUCUCAAAUUCUUGAUUAAAUUUUCUGAAAUACAGGAUUAAUUUUUUCACACACAUUGUAUAAUUUUUUAUAUAUAUGAGAAACAUUUGCUAUAUACAUAUUUAACAUUUUUCAAAUGCUUUUUUUAAUGUUAUAUGUAAAUUGUUUUUUAAUAUGUUUAUUCCAAAUAUUUUUGAAGUAUAGACAAAAGUAGAAAAAGAAAGCAAAAAACAAACACAAAAAAUGUGAAAAAGUGAGGUUAUGGCUCCCGCGCGCCUAGGCCGGCCCAUCUUGCGCUGACCUUCAUGUGAUAGUUCGCUAUGUCGCGCCCUAGGCUGAGUGAGAUGAGUGGUGGGAGGAUGGACCUGUUGAGGUAAAUUCGGUAGAAUUAGUGAAAUAUGUUUUUAGAGGUCAUCAUCUAACUAACUUUGAUAGCCUAAACAAUCUUAACUAAAUUUGGUUAGUGACCACUAGCAAUUGAGAUCAUUCCCAAAAAUAAAACAUUCUAAAAAAGUUAGCAACCAAAUUAUCAAGGACUUAAUGGUGAUGUACAUAACCUUUUGGCCAAUUAUAAGGCCAAUUUGGCAUGCAAAAAGCAAGUUCAUUCACGAGGACAUCCAUCAUAGCCCCUAUCGACUUUUGCUUUUGUACAAAAUUUCCUACAAGAACUAGAGAUCAUGAAGUAUCCCAAAAUUAGCUCUAAGCCUAGGUUGUCCUCCACACCAAGCAUGUGCACUAGCCACCAGGCAUUAGGCCGACCCGAUCUCCUCUUACCACCGCCUUCCUGACAACCCCUUAUCACCUCCUUCCUCCAUGCCACCACCAUCGUUGACGCCUAUCUCGACUUGGACACGAACUCUCCUCGAGCAUGCUCCAAUGGGGUGCCCUACACAGACUCCUUGGCUAAUUCCACACACCAAAGGCACAUAAAAAGGUUUUGAAUCCCUUGACCAAAAGCCAAGCUCAACUGUGAGUUCCUGUGCAAAACGUUUCCCAUCUGAAGCAUCAUAUCUCACCAUUCCACCGUUUUUGCCAGGACUCCCUUCCACCCAAGGUAUGUCGUUCAGUGCCUUCAAGUGUUGAUACACAUAAUCCAGUCAUCCAUCAUGUCGGCUUAGUUUUUCUUUAAUUACAACAUCGCUCUUUAUGCAUUCAUUUGUGUGUGUGUGGGGGGGGCAUGCACUUGAUGCAGGUGAGAUGCUGGUGAUUCCCACCAUUACUACAAGUAAGUACGUGUAAGGGUAGGGAAGGGUCUUCAUUGGCGAGGAGGAGAGGCAACGUGAGUGAAUUUUAGACUAGGGGGCAGGAGUGUGGAUGAUGCAUACACCAUGUGUAAAUGAGAUUAGGGUGGCUGCCACCAUCAUGAUGAGCCCAUGAAAAUACAAGGUGGUGCAGGGAGAAGGUCAUGAAGGUAGCUUGCUGUGUAAUGAUCGAGAUAAUUGCAAUGGUAUUAAUCACGUUCGUUGUGAAGAGGUGAACAACGUCGCCGCCAUCGGCACUGUGACGAAGAGAAGAAAGGGAAACACAAAUGGCUCGCUAGGGACAUGUUUAUCCCGAUGAAAAGCACGUGCACAUCUCUUAGUGCAAUAUAUAUUGCCACGGAAGCGAGCUAAACUAAGCCAGCCCACUGUUGCGUUUGGUUUUCGGAGUACUUUGUUUACUAUCGAUUCAGUUAUUUUCGGAUCCGGGUUUGGUCGUUUUCCACGGGAAUUGGUUUUCCACAAUAGCAUAAGUAUCCGGCUUUCUACAUUUUUCUUUGCGUUUUCUUGAUUUUUGUUCUUUUUUCUUCUUCUUAUUUUUUUGUUUUCAUCUGUUUUUACUUUUUGAUACAUGUCGAAAAUUAUCUAAAUACACAUUAAGCAUUACGAAAUACAUGCAAACAUUUUUUGAAUGCAUGCUUGACUUUUUGGUACAUGUUGAAUAUUUUUAAACAAACUAUAAAUAUUUCUCAAAUAAUGUUGAACAUUCUGAAAUGAAGGAUGAAUAAUUUUAAAUACAUCAUUUAAAAUGAGUAAGCACUUUCUUCCAAUUUCAGUGACAAAUGUGACAUUUUCUAAUUUUAAUUUGUUAGAAAAUAAAAAUAAAAUGAGAAAAUCAGAGAAGACCGGACCAAAAAAUCAUGUAAAACUGGUAGAAAACUGCAUGUAGAAACCAACUAGAAAAAUCGCUAGAAAUCCAUGACUAGGCCGGCACAGGUGGAUCACCCGUUGGCGAGUGCUAUAUAUCGCUUGUAGCUUGAUGUUGUGACUCAGAUAGAAGACACGUUAAGGCCAACGCCAUUUAUGGAGCUGAGCAUGUUCUCUAACCUCGUGAUCCUUGUGGGUGUGUGGCGAGGUGAAUCCCUCCUAUUUGACGCUCAUUGGUUCAAAGUGUCAGGGUUUCACACAGGGCCUGGAGUCAUGGGCCAAAUCCAAUACGGUGGUUGGGCAAGCAAUGUUUCUCGUAUCUUUUUUCAAUAGCCUUUUGUUUGUUUUUGAUAUUUUCGAGUGUGCUCUUUUGCUUUUCUUCUGUAGGUUUGUUCAUUUAUCUGCCAUCAUUUUUCCUUUGCCGGGUUCCAAUUUUUUGCUUUUAUUUAUUUAAUUUUAAUAUUUUUUCAUUUCUCCUUCUCAUUUUGUACAUAUAUUCUAUAUAUCUGAAAUUGUUCAUGUUUUGAAAAUUCACAAAAUUGAAAAAAAUGUUCAUUUCCUAAGGUUAGCUACAAAUUUUGAAAAUUCCAACUUUAGAAAAUAUUCAUGAACCUAGAAAGUAUGGAAAAAGGAAAAUUAAAAAUUAAAGGAAUCGGGAGCAAUCCCGAAAAGGAAAGUUUUUCUUUGAAAAACGUUAGAAACCAGCGUUCCAUUGUGUUUUUCCCCAACAUUCUAAUGCACAGUGUCAAAUAGGAGGGGAUUUCUCGGUGAGAUCGUCCUACCAUGCGGAAUGGGAACACCAACCUGGACGAAAAUUGAGAAGGACAAACUCUAUUGAAGCCUCAAGUACUAGCCCAAUUUGGAGUGUUGUUUGGAAAUUGCAUGUUCUGGCUAAGAUCAAGAUCCAUGUCUGGAGAAGUUUAUUGGGUGCAAUACCUUGCUACAGUGUUCUGACCAAUAGGCACAUGGCCACAAUUCUCAAUGCCCCCUCUGUAUGGCGGACUGCGAGAGCAUCACACACACGUGGUGGCUACAUUCAACGAUGACUAAGGUACUGGAGCUUUGGGUGCUAUUCUUCGCGACUAUAAUGGAUAUUUUUUGGCGAUGUCUUGCAGCCAUAUUCCCUUUGUUGAUGACGCUGCAUUGGCGGAAGCCCGAGGUCUUCGAGAUGGCCUUAUCUUGGCAAGUGAUAUUGGAUGCAAUAACAUAGUGGUCCAAGCUGAUUGCAUGGAGGUAAUUCAGGUGAUGCAAGAUGGUGGCACUCGUUAGGACCAGCAGCAACAAUCUUCGAGGACUACACUUUAUUAUGUCGUAAUUUUAAUUAUGUUAGUUGUUAUCAUUGCCCUAGGGAGGCCAAUAUGGCGGCAAACUUGUUAACUAGUAGAUCGGAGGUUUUCGCAAACCUUGAAUUGGCAAGACGAACCACCUGAUUUUCUAGUGGAUGUACUCCUAACCGAUGUAUCAUUGUUACCGCAUGAAAUAUAAACCGACAUGAUGUGAGUUGGGCGGGAGUACAUGCGUGUGGACGCUAUAGUUGGAAACGGCAUGGAGAUUGUCCAGGAGGGACGAAAUGUUGUCCAUGAAUUGAGCAUCUUGUCAGUGAUGCGUCGGUGAUCCCAUGCCUUGCUGACCCGUAGAUGUGGGACCCAAACAAAUAAAUAUCGCAAUAAAAAGCUCAUUUGCCUUGUUCCAAAUAAAUAACUAUGCAACGAAUAGCAAGUUAGUGUGACGACGACAUAUUACUUCUUCUUUUUUAUGAGAAAUAUAUUACUUCUGUCAUGCGUCAGUGAUAUGAUACUUAAACAGAAGAAUAGUAGAAUGGUACACACUACUAUUCAUCAACCCACGAAGGGGUAAAUAUACAGAGUACAUGGUGGUGACAGCCACAACUAUGUACGGGCAUGCACAACGUGCACCAAGUCGUGGGGCGUGGCAUGCGGUAGCAGAUCAGGUACAAGACGUGGGACUCGGUCCCUGUUACACUAGCAACGGGCAUCUUCCAAUAGCCCCCGCAGUCGCAACGGGAUCAUUGAGGACGUUGAGGCUAGACCGGAAGUCGGGGAAGAUGGGCGUCGGGAGCCCCUUCAUGAAGAUGUCGGCGAACUGUGACGUCGAGGGCACGUGGAGGACCCGAACGUCGCCGAAGGUGACACGCUCACGAACAAAGAGAAGGUCGAUCUCGAUGUGCUUCGUCCGUUGGUGCUGCACAGGGUUGGUGGAGAGGUACAUCAUGCUCACAUUGUCGCAGUAGACGACGGUCGCCGCGGACGGGGGCCGUCGGAGCUCGCGGAGUAGCUGCCGGAGUCAAUACGCCUCAGCCACGUCGUUGGCGACGGCCUUGUACUCCGCCUCGGCGCUGGAGAGCGAGAUAGUCGGUUGACGCUUCGAGGACCAUGAGACAAGGUUGUCGACAACGUAGAUGCAGAAGCCUGAUGUAGACUUGCGUGUGUCGGGACAGCCGGCCCAGUCGGCGUCCGAGUACGCAAUCAACCUGUGGUAGGAGGAGCGCCGAAGAUGAAGACUGAGUUGCAAGGUGCCGCGGAUGUAGCGUAGGAUCCGCUUGAGGACGGUGUAGUGCGGUUCACGCGGGUCGUGCACGAAUAGACAGACCUGCUGAACAGCGUAGGCGAUGUUCGGACGCGUGAGGGUGAGGUACUGGAGAGCUUCCGCUAAGCUGCAAUAGUGAGACGGGUCGGAGAGGGGAGGGCCGUCGGAAGCGGAGAGCUUGGAGCGAGUGUCAAUGGGCGUAGUGGCAGGCUUACAGUUGCUCAUGUGGGUGCGCUCAAGAACCUCUAAGGCAUACUGGUGCUGCGAGAGAAACAACCUGUGUGUGCCACAAGUGACAUUGAUGCCUAAAAAGUAGUGGAGAUCACCAAGGCCAGUCAUGGAAAACUCGCGGUGGAGCUGUGCGAUGAUGUGGCAAAGUACACCACCGAAGACAUCGAUGGUAUGAAUGACGAUGUCGGAGAUGAACAAGGCCAGGACCCGCCGUUUAGCGGACGUUGGACGGCCACCUCCUGAUAUGACGUGUAUAUGGUGGACACACCCAAAGAAGAUGACGGCGACGGCAGGAAGGAUCCGGUCGAGGACGAGCCUGUUGAGGCACCACCAAAGCGUCGACGUCAGUGGCGCCGUUCCAAAUCGCGUCGCGAAAAAGACAGUAAUACCGGCACCGGAGACAAUAACACUCCGGAUAAUGCCAAACACCCCGAAGCCCCCAUCGAGCCAACAUCUGAACAUGACAAUUGGGAGGAGGGGCAAGUCAACCCUGACGAUCCGGUCGGGAACGAGGACUCGGAGGAUAGUAACUAUCUACCACCCUCCGAAGACGACGUGAGCCUCGGUGACGAGGACUUCAUCGUGCCAGAGGAACCACUUGAGCAGGAGCGCUUUAAGCGCUAGCUAAUCGCCACGGCGAGAAGCCUAAAAAGAAGCAAAAAAACUCCAAGCCGAAUAGGAUACACUCAACGACAGAUGGACCCAGGUCCUAGCUACCGAAGAGUAUGGUUUUGAACGCCCACCAAGAAGUUAUCCGAAGCGUCGGUUACUACCACAAUUCGACGAUGAGGCCCUCGAGCCAAUACCGUCAAGACACCACCGCGCUGAUGAACCAGACUGGCCACCGCGUGGACGGGACAGAGCGGCUACUCAGGCUGAACACCAGCCCGCACCACCCCACCUUAGAGGCAGAGAGACAGCGGCUCCAGGAUAUACCUACGACCUACGACAGGACCUGGACAAUAGAGUCGGUCAGACCAGAUCAAUCUAUGUAUCAAGGGGGCAUGCCCCAACGUGAGAGGACGGCCAUCAGGCCUGGCGCGAUAAGCACAACCUCACCCGGGCCAAAAAUCGCAUACGGACGUCAUCCAAACUUUGUCAUGAUGUCGCGCGAUACAGAGGCGCCGCACACCCCUUAUGCUUCACCGAUGAGGUAACGGAGCACCAGUUCCCAGAAGGGUUCAAACCGGUAAACAUUGAAUCAUACGAUGGAACGAUAGAUCCCGCAGUAUGGAUAGAAGAUUUUCUUCUCCAUAUCCACAUGGCUCGCGGUGAUGAUCUCCAUGCCAUCAAGUACCUCCCCCUGAAGCUCAAGGGACCAGCACGACACUAGUUAAAUAGCCUCCCAGAAAACUCUAUUGGUAGCUGGGAAGACUUGGAGGAUGCCUUUAGAGACUACUUCCAAGGCACCUAUGUCCGGCCUUCGGACGCCGACGACCUUAGUCACAUAGUCCAGCAACCCGGAGAGUCAGCCCGGAAGCUCUGGACCAGGUUCUUAAUCAAAAAGAACCAAAUUGUCGAUUGUCUGGACGCCGAAGCCCUCGUGGCCUUUAAACACAGCGUCCGAGACGAGUGGCUUGCCCGACACCUCGGCCAAGAAAAGCCAAAGUCUAUGGCAGCCCUCACUGCACUCAUGACCCGCUUUUGCGCGGGAGAAGAUAGCUGGCUAGCUCGUAGAAGCAACAACACCAGCGACCCCGGCACCUCCGAAGCCAUGGAUGGCAAUAGUAGGCCACAACACAACCAAAAAAAAGCAUCAAAACAACAACGAAAAUACCGAAGAUACGGCGGUCAACGCCGGAUUCAGUGGCUCCAAACCAGGUCUGCAAAAGAAGCCAUUCAAAUGAAACAAGGAUAGCCCAUCUAGUUUGGACAGGAUAUUCGAUCGGCCUUGCCAGAUUCAUGGCUCCCCUGACAAGCCUGCCAAUCACACGAACAGAAAUUGUUGGGUUUUCAAACAGGCCGGUAAGAUAAACACCGAAAAUAAGAGGAAAGGGCCACCCAGCGAGGAUGACGAUGAAGAGCCUCGCCCACCGAACACAGGGGGACCGAAGAAAUUUCCCCCCGAGGUAAAAACGGUGAAUAUGAUAUACGUUACGCAUAUCCCAAAGAGGAGCGCAAGCGUGCUCUAAGGGACGUCUACGCCGUAGAGCCGGUCGCACCAAAAUUCAACCCCUGGUCGGCCUGUCCAAUCACCUUCGAUCGUAAGGAUCACCCGACCAGUACCCAUCACGGAGGUUCGGCGGCCUUGGUCCUCGAUCCAAUCAUCAACGGAUUCCAUCUCACAUGAGUCAUUAUGGACGGCGGUAGCAGUCUUAAUCUGCUCUAUCAGGACACGGUCCGCAAAAUGGGUAUUGAUCCGUCAAGAAUCAAGCCCACCAAAACCACCUUUAAAGGAGUAAUCCCUGGUGUGGAAGCCCGUUGCACAGGCUCCAUAACAUUGGAAGUGGUCUUCGGCUCGCCGGACAACUUCCGAAGCGAAGACUUGAUCUUCGACAUCGUCCCCUUCCCAGUGGUUACCACGCACUGCUUGGAAGAACCGCUUUCACCCGCUUCAAUGCGGUCCCGCAUUAUGCUUACUUAAAGCUCAAAAUGCCCGGACCUCGCGGCGUCAUAGCAGUCAAUGGAAAUACAGAGCACUCCCUCCAUACUGAGGAGCAUACCGCGGCCCUCGCAGCUGAAGUAUAGGGUGGCCUUAUCAAGCCGAACACUACCUCGGCAGUCAAGCCCUCAGACACUGUCAAACGAGUCCGGUCUACCUUGCAGAAUGACAGUCCGGCUCAUCCAGAGCUCGAUUAGCAUUUCAGCCUCCGUCAAAAUACCAACCCAAUUGCGGCAUUCGUACCGCGUGUACAUAACUACGCACUAAAGAUACCAUGGGCAAGGAUGGAGGCACACUAAAAAUAAAGUCCGCAAUACGGCUCGACCCUAUCCGGACCUUCAUAUAUUCUUUCUCUUUUCUUGUUAUUUUUUCAGGUUCUUUACAACCCACAUCACUUUUCGAUGGUACCAAGGGCACCUUUUCCAGGCCCCUUAUCUAUACCCGAUCGUCAAAGGAUCUUACACCAAGGCGAAAUGCGGCGCAGACGUGCGGCAGAACGUACAAGGGAUCCUCAAGAUCAUCUUUUCCUUUUUAAGGACCUGUAUACAGCUUUCCCUUGUCCUUGGCAUGUAAAAUAGCCUCGAUGCCCAUGGCACCAUCUUUAAAAAUACGUUUUGACGUAUCACUCAGACUAUAAUGGAAACAGUUCUGCCCAACCUUGUCCGGUAUUGGCUUAUUUCUUAAAUAUGUCUUCCCUCUGUACGUCAUAUUGACCUACACCUCGGCACGAUUUAAAACGCCAGGGGCUCCAUUAGGCCACAUGUAUUUUUCAAACAAAAGAAGUACGAACACUUUUAAAAGUACACUUCGGCAUCCCGAACAUGGCAUUAUAUGCAUUGGCUCCGAAUCAUGUCUUUGGUCAAUAGUUGGGUUGCCCGGCUCCUGUGGUUACCACCUUAUGUUCCGCUUGUUCGGCUAAGGUAGUAAAGGGAGAACUACUGCGAUUGUGUUUCUGAUUCAUCCGGUCAAGCACCUCAGUAGAAAAAACCGAAAACUGACUGUCAUGAUGCGGCGAGAGCUGGUCAGCAAUUUGGCGACUCACUAAAUCUUUAGCGAUUUUUUCUGUAUUAUACGAAGGACUGGCUUCGGUUCAGUCACGCGCCUCAGGUAUCCCAGCUCGGACAGCCACCUGCGCACCAGGGGCUAGUUCCUAACCCCACCGUCAAACUCCUCUGGCUAAGUGAAAGCGCUAAAGCCACAUAGUCUGAUUGCCUGGUUCGCUACGGAAGUCACCUCCUUUAGAGACCAAGAUGUUGGGUCAAGAGUGAUUACACGUUAUUCCGAACACCCCUGUAGUAUCUACUUGGGGGAUGAAGCCGACGACUGGCAAACUUUCAGAAAUAAAAACGGCCGCACAGGAGGAAAAAAUUUCAGAUAAAAUGACAAGUAUAUUACAAAGCCUUGGUUUAUAAUACAACGUUCGGGCAGUUCGGAUACAUUCCCUCGAACAUAAUAUCCUUUGAGCAUUGGCCCUCUAUCAAACGAGCACCUCCUAGGACGUCUUCAAAAUAGCGCCCCGGCCUGCGGUGGUCUUUGCCUCCAGGCGGACCCUCAAUUGCCACGUCGGCGGCCUUCAUCUUUGCCCAGUGCAUCUUGACACAGGCAAAGGCCAUCCGCGCACCUUCUAUGCACAUCGAGCGCUUCAGAGCCUCAAUGCGGGGCAGGGCGUCGCCGAGCCGCUUGACCAGGCCGAAGUAGCUGCUAGGAAUAGGUCCGGCCGGCCAUAGCCGGACUAUGAUAUCCUUCAUGGCCAAACCAGACCUCCUAUGCAGCUCCACCACCUGCAUCAUCUGGUUGUUUAGCAGCGCUGGCCGCUCCGGCGCCAGGUACUGCGACCAGAAGAGCUUCUCCGUCGUAUUCCCUCCUUGGGCCCGGAAAUACUGUGCAGCAUCGGCAGCACUCCUCGGGAGAUCCGAAAGGUGUCUGGAGCACUCCAUAGUCGAUUUAGCAUAGCAUAUCUUCGACCUCCAAAUAUACUCUGUAAAAGAAAAAGGCUUACCAGCCGCUAUCUGCCCGGCCUGCUUGAUCUCCUCGCGGGCCGCCCGGGACUCGCUCCACGCCUCCUUUACCUCUUGCAGAGCCUUGGUGAGUUCGGACGCUUGGGCCUUGUUACUCUCCUCCAAGGCUUCGCACUUUUUGGCAACAUCUUGGAGUGCCCGGUCCACUUCGGUCAUCCUCUCCUCAUGCUGACGGUGGGCGACCUGUUCGGCCUUCAAAUUCGUAGCCGCUUUGUCAGCGGCCACUUGGCUCACCCGCGCCCGCUCCUUGGCUUCGGCAAGGGCACCCUUGAGGGUCUCGACCUCGGGUGCGUUGCCUACAACUAUAUAUAUAUAUAUAUAUAUAUAUAUAUAUAUAUAUAUAGCAACACAUGAGCUUAAAUUCUAAUUUUGCAUUACAACUCAGGCUUACAAGGGACCUUUUGAAAGCAUACCUUGUUGCUCAUUGAACCACUUGUUAGCGCGGUCGAUCUCGUCAUCAGCCAGCUUUAGCUUCCGCUUGAGUUCGGAAACUUCAGCGGCCUGGGCAGAUGCCGCUAACAAUGAAGCAUGUGUUGGAAAUAUGCCCUAGAGGCAAUAAUAAAUGGUUAUUAUUAUAUUUCUUUGUUCAUGAUAAUAGUCUAUUAUUCAUGUUAUAAUUGUAUUGUCCGGAAAUCGUAAUACAUGUGUGAAUGCAUAGACCACAACGUGUCCCUAGUAAGCCUCUAGUUGACUAGCUCGUUGAUCAACAGAUAGUCAUGGUUUCCUGAGUAUGGACAUUGGAUGUCAUUGAUAACGGGAUCACAUCAUUAGGAGAAUGAUGUGAUGGACAAGACCCAAUCCUAAGCAUAGCAUAAAAGAUCGUGUAGUUUCGUUUGCUAGAGCUUUUCCAAUGUCAAGUAUCUUUUCCUUAGACCAUGAGAUCGUGCAACUCCCGGAUACCGUAGGAGUGCUUUGGGUGUGCCAAACGUCACAACGUAACUGGGUGACUAUAAAGGUGCACUACGGGUAUCUCCGAAAGUGUCUGUUGGGUUGGCACGGAUCGAGACUGGGAUUUGUCACUCCGUGUGACGGAGAGGUAUCUCUGGGCCCACUCGGUAAUGCAUCAUCAUAAUGAGCUCAAUGUGACUAAGGCGUUAGUCACGGGAUCAUGCAUUGCGGUACGAUUAAAGAGACUUGCCGGUAACGAGAUUGAACAAGGUAUUGGGAUACCGACGAUCGAAUCUCGGGCAAGUAACAUACCGAUUGACAAAGGGAAUUGCAUACGGGAUUGAUUGAAUCCUCGACACCGUGGUUCAUCCGAUGAGAUCAUCGUGGAACAUGUGGGAGCCAACAUGGGUAUCCAGAUCCCGCUGUUGGUUAUUGACCGGAGAGGCGUCUCGGUCAUGUCUGCAUGUCUCCCGAACCCGUAGGGUCUACACACUUAAGGUUCGGUGACGCUAGGGUUGUAGAGAUAUAUGUAUGCGGAAACCCGAAAGUUGUUCGGAGUCCCGGAUGAGAUCCCGGACGUCACGAGAGGUUCCGGAAUGGUCCGGAGGUGAAGAAUUAUAUAUAGGAAGUCCAGUUUCGGCCACCGGGAAAGUUUCGGGGGUUACCGGUAUUGUACCGGGACCACCGGAAGGGUCCCGGGGGUCCACCGGGUGGGGCCUGUUGGGAAUCGUAGCAUAAUUUAAAAUUUUCCUACGCUCACCAAGAUGCAUCUAUGGAGUCUACUAGCAACGAGGGGAAAGGAGUGGAUCUACAUACCCUUGUAGAUCGCGAGCGGAAGCGUUCCAAUGAACGUGGAUGACGGAGUCGUACUCGCCGUGAUCCAAAUCACCGAUGACCGAGUGUCGAACGGACGGCACCUCCGCGUUCAACACACGUACGGUGCAGCGACGUCUCCUCCUUCUUGAUCCAGCAAGGGGGAAGGAGAGGUUGAUGGAGAUCCAACAGCACGACGGCGUGGUGGUGGAUGUAGCGGGUCUCCGGCAGGGCUUCGCCGAGCUUCUGCGAGAGAGAGAGAGGUGUUGCAGGGGAGGAGGGAGGCGCCCAAGGCUUAGAUCUUGCUGCCCUCCCUUCCCCCCACUAUAUAUAGGGCCAAGGGAGAGGGGGGGGCGCAGCCUUGCCCCUUCCUUCAAGGAAGGGUGCGGCCAGGGGGGAGUCCUUCCCCCCCAAGGCACCUCGGAGGUGCCUUCCCCCUUUAGGACUCUCCCUUCUUUCUUAUCUCUUGCGCAUGGGCCUCUUGGGGCUGGUGCCCUUGGCCCAUAUAGGCCAAGGCGCACCCCUUACAGCCCAUGUGGCCCCCCGGGGCUGGUGGACCCUCGGACCCCUUUCGGCACUCCCGGUACAAUACCGAUAAAGCGCGAAACUUUUCCGGCGACCAAAAUAAGACUUCCCAUAUAUAAAUCUUUACCUCCGGACCAUUCCGGAACCUCUCGUGACGUCCGGGAUCUCAUCCGGGACUCCGAACAACUUUCGGGUUUCCGCAUACAUAUAUCUCUACAACCCUAGCGUCACCGGACCUUAAGUGUGUAGACCCUACGGGUUCGGGAGACAUGCAGACAUGACCGAGACGCCUCUCCGGUCAAUAACCAACAGCGGGAUCUGGAUACCCAUGUUGGCUCCCACAUGUUCCACGAUGAUAUCAUCGGGUGAACCACGGUGUCGAGGAUUCAAUCAAUCCGUAUGCAAUUCCCUUUGUCAAUCGGUAUGUUACUUGCCCGAGAUUCGAUCGUCGGUAUCCCAAUACCUAGUUCAAUCUCGUUACUGGCAAGUCUCUUUACUCGUACCGUAAUGCAUGAUCCCGUGACUAACGCCUUAGUCACAUUGAGCUCAUUAUGAUGAUGCAUUACCGAGUGGGCCCAGAGAUACCUCUCCGUUUACACGGAGUGACAAAUCCCAGUCUCGAUCCGUGCCAACCCAACAGACACUUUCGGAGAUACCCGUAAUGCACCUUUAUAGUCACCCAGUUACGUUGUGACGUUUGGCACACCCAAAGCACUCAUACGGUAUCCGGGAGUUGCACGAUCUCAUGGUCUAAGGAAAAGAUACUUGACAUUGGAAAAGCUCUAGCAAACGAAACUACACGAUCUUUUAUGCUAUGCUUAAGUUGGGUCUUGUCCAUCACAUCAUUCUCCUAAUGAUGUGAUCCCGUUAUCAAUGACAUCCAAUGUCCAUAGUCAGGAAACCAUGACUAUCUGUUGAUCAACGAGCUAGUCAACUAGAGGCUUACUAGGGACAGGUUGUGGUCUAUGUAUUCACACAUGUAUUAUGAUUUCCGGACAAUACAAUUAUAGCACGAAUAAUAGACUAUUAUCAUGAACACAGAAAUAUAAUAAUAACCAUUUAUUAUUGCCUCUAGGGCAUAUUUCCAACAAUUGCCCUUGCGAAGGAGCCCAGGUUUCACAGGAAGACCAGGCAUAUCAAGCGUCGCUUCAACUCCAUUCGUGAAAGUGUUCAAAAUGGAGACAUAGAUAUUUGUAAAGUACAUACGGACCUGAAUGUAGCAGAUCCGUUGACUAAACCUCUCCCUAGGGCAAAACAUGAUCAACACCAGGACGCAAUGGGUGUUCGAUUCAUCACAAUGUAACUAGAUUAUUGACUCUAGUGCAAGUGGGAGACUGUUGGAAAUAUGCCCUAGAGGCAAUAAUAAAUGGUUAUUAUUAUAUUUCUUUGUUCAUGAUAAUCGUCUAUUGUUCAUGCUAUAAUUGUAUUGUCCGGAAAUCGUAAUACAUGUGUGAACACAUAGACCACAACGUGUCCCUAGUAAGCCUCUAGUUGACUAGCUCGUUGAUCAACAGAUAGUCAUGGUUUCCUGACUAUGGACAUUGGAUGUCAUUGAUAACGGGAUCACAUCAUUAGGAGAAUGAUGUGAUGGACAAGACCCAAUCCUAAGCAUAGCAUAAAAGAUCGUGUAGUUUCGUUUGCUAGAGCUUUUCCAAUGUCAGGUAUCUAUUCCUUAGACCAUGAGAUCGUGCAACUCCCGGAUACCGUAGGAGUGCUUUGGGUGUGCCAAACGUCACAACGUAACUGGGUGACUAUAAAGGUACACUGCGGGUAUCUCCGAAAGUGUCUGUUGGGUUGGCACGGAUCGAGACUGGGAUUUGUCACUCCGUAUGACGGAGAGGUAUCUCUGGGCCCACUCGGUAAUGCAUCAUCAUAAUGAGCUCAAUGUGACUAAGGCGUUAGUCACGGGAUCAUGCAUUGCGGUACGAGUAAAGAGACUUGCCGGUAACGAGAUUGAACAAGGUAUUGGGAUACCGACGAUCGAAUCUCGGGCAAGUAACAUACCGAUUGACAAAGGGAAUUGUAUACGGGAUUGAUUGAAUCCUCGACACCGUGGUUCAUCCGAUGAGAUCAUCGUGGAACAUGUGGGAGCCAACAUGGGUAUCCAGAUCCCGCUGUUGGUUAUUGACCGGAGAGGCGUCUCGGUCAUGUCUGCAUGUCUCCCGAACCCGUAGGGUCUACACACUUAAGGUUCGGUGACGCUAGGGUUGUAGAGAUAUGUGUAUGCGGAAACCCGAAAGUUGUUCGGAGUCCCGGAUGAUAUCCCGGACGUCACGAGAGGUUCCGGAAUGGUCCGGAGGUGAAGAAUUAUAUAUAGGAAGUCAAGUUUCGGCCACCGGGAAAGUUUCGGGGGUUACGGGUAUUGUACCGGGACCACCGGAAGGGUCCCGGGGGUCCACCAGGUGGGGCCACCUAUCCCGGAGGGCCACGUGGGCUGAAAGUGGAAGGGAACCAGCCCUUAGUGGGCUGGGGCGCCCCCCUUGGUCCUCCCCCCAUGCGCCUAGGGUUGGGAACCCUAAGGGGGGGAGCUUCCCCCUUGCCUUGGGGGGCAAGGCAACCCCUUCCCCCCUUUGGCCGCCGCCCCCCUUGGAGAUCCGAUCUCCCAGGGCCGGCGCCCCCCAGGGGGCCUAUAUAAAGGUGGGGAGGGAGGGCAGCAACACACAGCCUUGGGCGCCUCCCUCCUCCCCUGCAACACCUCUCUCUCUCUCGCAGAAGCUCGGCGAAGCCCUGCCGGAGACCCGCUACAUCCACCACCACGCCGUCGUGCUGCUGGAUCUCCAUCAACCUCUCCUUCCCCCUUGCUGGAUCAAGAAGGAGGAUACGUCGCUGCAUCGUACGUGUGUUGAACGCGGAGGUGCCGUCCGUUCGGCACUCGGUCAUCGGUGAUUUGGAUCACGGCGAGUACGACUCCGUCAUCCACGUUCAUUGGAACGCUUCCGCUCGCGAUCUACAAGGGUAUGUAGAUGCACUCCCUUCCCCUCGUUGCUAGUACACUCCAUAGAUGCAUCUUGGUGAGCGUAGGAAAAUUUUGAAUUAUGCUACGAUUCCCAACAGUGGCAUCAUGAGCCAGGCCUAUGCGUAGUUACUAUGCACGAGUAGAACACAAAGCAGUUGUGGGCGUUGAGUUUGCCAAUUCUUCUUGCCGCUACUAGUCUUUUCUUGUUUCGGCGGCACUGUAGGAUGAAGCGGCCCGGACCGACCUUACACGUACGCUUACGUGAGACAGGUUCCACCGACUGACAUGCACUAGUUGCAUAAGGUGGCUAGCGGGUGUCUGUCUCUCCUACUUUAGUCGGAACGGAUUCGAUGAAAAGGGUCCUUAUGAAGGGUAAAUAGAAAUUGGCAAAUCACGUUGUGGUCAUACGUAGGUAAGAAACGUUCUUGCUAGAAACCUACAAACCACGUAAAAACUUGCAACAACAAUUAGAGGACGUCUAACAUGUUUUUGCAGCAAGUGAUAUAUGUGAUAUGAUAUGGCCAGAAGAUGUGAUGAAUGAUAUAUGUGAUGUAUGAGAUUGAUCAUAUGCUUGUAAUAGGAAUCACGAUUUGCAUGUCGAUGAGUAUGACAACCGGCAGGAGCCAUAGGAGUUGUCUUUAUUAUUUUGCAUGACCUGCGUGUCAUUGAAUAACGCCAUGUAAAUUACUUUACUUUGUUGCUAAACGCGUUAGCCAUAGAAGUAGAAGUAAUCGUUGGCGUGACGACUUCAUGAAGACACAAUGAUGGAGAUCAUGAUGAUGGAGAUCAUGGCGUCAUGCCGGUGACGAAGAUGAUCAUGGUGCCCCGAAGAUGGAGAUCAAAGGAGCAUAAUGAUAUUGGCCAUAUCAUGUCACUAUUUGAUUGCAUGUGAUGUUUAUCAUGUUUUUGCAUCUUAUUUGCUUAGAACGACGGUAGUAAGUAAGAUGAUCCCUUAUAAUAAUUUCAAGAAAGUGUUCACCCUAAAUGUGCACCGUUGCGAAGGUUCGUUGUUUCGAAGCACCACGUGAUGAUCGGGAGUGAUAGAUUCUAACGUUCGAAUACAACGGGUGUUGAUGAGCCUAGCAUGUACAGACAUGGCCUCGGAACACACGCAAUACACUUAGGUUGACUUGACGAGCCUAGCAUGUACAGACAUGGCCUCGGAACACGGAGGACCGAAAGGUCGAGCAUGAGUCGUAUAGAAGAUACGAUCAACAUGGAGAUGUUCACCGAUCUUGACUAGUCCGUCUCACGUGAUGAUCGGACACGGCCUAGUUAAACUCGGAUCAUGUUUCACUUAGAUGACGAGAGGGAUGUCUAUCUGAGUGGGAGUUCAUUAAAUAAUUUGAUUAGAUGAACUUAAUUAUCAUGAACUUAGUCUAAAAUCUUUACACUAUGUCUUGUAGAUCAAAUGGCCAACGUUGUCCUCAAUUUCAACGCGUUCCUAGAGAAAACCAAGCUGAAAGAUGAUGGCAGCAACUAUACGGAUUGGGUCCGGAACCUGAGGAUCAUCCUCAAAGUAGCCAAGAAAGAUUAUGUCUUAGAAGCACCGCUAGGUGAUGCACCAAUCCCAGAAAACCAAGACGUUAUGAACGCUUGGCAGCAGCGUGCUGAUGAUUACUCCCUCGUUCAGUGCGGCAUGCUUUACAGCUUAGAACCGGGUCUCCAAAAGCGUUUUGAGAAACAUGGAGCAUAUGAGAUGUUCGAGGAGCUGAAAUUGGUUUUCCAAGCUCAUGCCCGGGUCGAGAGAUAUGAUGUCUCGGACAAGUUCUUCAGUUGUAAAAUGGAGAAGAACAAUUCUGUUAGUGAGCACAUACUCAGAAUGUCUGGGUUGCACAACCGCUUGACUCAGCUGGGAGUUAAUCUCCCGGAUGACGCGGUCAUUGACAGAAUCCUCCAGUCGCUUCCACCAAGCUACAAGAGCUUUGUGAUGAACUACAAUAUGCAGGGGAUGGAAAAGACCAUUCCCGAGGUAUAUUCAAUGCUGAAAUCAGCGGAAGGGGAGAUCAGAAAAGAACAUCAAGUGUUGAUGGUGAAUAAAACCACUAAGUUCAAGAAGGGCAAGGGUAAGAAGAACUUCAAGAAGGACGGCAAGGGAGUUGCCGCGCCCGGUAAACCAGUUACCGGGAAGAAGCCAAGAAAUGGACCCAAGCCCGAGACUGAGUGCUUUUAUUGCAAGGGAAGUGGUCACUGGAAGUGGAACUGCCCCAAAUACUUAGCGGACAAGAAGAAGGCCGGCAACACCAAAGGUAUAUGUGAUAUACAUGUAAUUGAUGUGUACCUUACCAGUACUCGUAGUAGCUCCUGGGUAUUUGAUACCGGUACGGUUGCUCAUAUUUGUAACUCAAAACAGGAACUACGGAAUAAACGGAGACUGGCGAAGGACGAGGUGACGAUGCGCGUCGGGAAUGGUUCCAAGGUCGAUGUGAUCGCCGUCGGCACGCUACCUCUGCAUCUCCCUACAGGAUUAGUUUUAAACCUCAAUAAUUGUUAUUUAGUGCCAGCUUUGAGCAUGAACAUUGUAUCUGGAUCUCGUUUAAUUCGAGAUGGCGACUCAUUUAAAUCCGAGAAUAAUGGUUGUUCUAUUUAUUUUAGAUAUAUGUUUUAUCGUCAUGCCCCGCUGGUCAAUGGUUUAUUUUUGAUGAAUCUCGAACGUGAUGUUACACAUGUUCAUAGUGUGAAUACCAAAAGAUGUAAAGUUGAUAACGAUAGUCCCACAUACUUGUGGCACUGCCGCCUUGGUCACAUUGGUGUCAAGCGCAUGAAGAAGCUCCAUGCAGAUGGACUUUUGGAGUCUCUUGAUUACGAAUCAUUUGACACGUGCGAACCAUGCCUCAUGGGUAAGAUGACCAAGACUCCGUUCUCCGGAACAAUGGAGCGAGCAACCAACUUAUUGGAAAUCAUACAUACCGAUGUGUGCGGUCCAAUGAGUGUUGAGGCUCGCGGAGGAUAUCGUUAUGUUCUCACUCUCACUGAUGACUUAAGUAGAUAUGGGUAUGUCUACCUAAUGAAACACAAGUCUGAAACCUUUGAAAAGUUCAAGGAAUUUCAGAGUGAAGUUGAGAAUCAACGUGACAGGAAAAUAAAAUUCUUACGAUCAGAUCGUGGUGGAGAAUAUUUGAGUCACGAAUUUGGUACACACUUAAGGAAAUGUGGAAUAGUUUCACAACUCACGCCGCCUGGAACACCUCAAAGAAAUGGUGUGUCCGAACGUCGUAAUCGCACUCUAUUGGAUAUGGUGCGAUCUAUGAUGUCUCUUACCAAUUUACCGCUCUCAUUUUGGGGCUAUGCUUUAGAGACUGCCGCAUUCACUUUAAAUAGGGCUCCGUCUAAAUCCGUUGAGACGACACCGUAUGAAUUAUGGUUUGGGAAGAAACCUAAGCUGUCGUUUCUAAAAGUUUGGGGAUGCGAUGCUUAUGUCAAGAAACUUCAACCUGAAAAGCUCGAACCCAAAUCGGAAUAAUGCGUCUUCAUAGGAUACCCUAAGGAAACUAUUGGGUAUACCUUCUACCUCAGAUCCGAAGGCAAGAUCUUCGUUGCCAAGAACGGGUCCUUUCUGGAGAAGGAGUCUCUCUCGAAAGAAUUGAGUGGGAGGAAAGUGGAACUUGAUGAGGUGAUAGUCACCCCUUCCGAACCGGAAAGUAGCGCAGCGCGGGAAAAUGUUCCUGUGGUGCCUACACCGACUGGGGAGGAAGUUAAUGAUGAUGAUCAUGAAGCUUCGGAUCAAGUUACUGAACUUCGUAGGUCCACAAGGACACGUUCCGCACCAGAGUGGUACGGCAACCCUGUCCUGGAAAUCAUGUUGUUAGACAACGGUGAACCUUCGAACUAUGAAGAAGCGAUGGCGGGCCCGGAUUCCGACAAAUUGCUAGAAGCCAUGAAAUCCGAGAUAGGAUCCAUGUAUGAAAACGAAGUAUGGACUUUGACUGACUUGCCCGAUGAUCGGCGAGCCAUAGAAAACAAAUGGAUCUUUAAGAAGAAGACGGACGCGGAUGGUAAUGUGACCAUCUACAAAGCUCGACUUGUCGCUAAGGGUUAUCGACAAGUUCAAGGGGUUGACUACGAUGAGACUUUCUCACCCGUAGCGAAGCUGAAGUCCGUCCGAAUCAUGUUAGCAAUUGCCGCAUACUAUGAUUAUGAGAUAUGGCAGAUGGACGUCAAAACGGCAUUCCUUAACGGCUUCCUUAAGGAAGAGUUGUAUAUGAUGCAGCCGAAAGGUUUUGUCGAUCCUAAGAAUGCUAACAAAGUAUGCAAGCUCCAGCGCUCAAUCUAUGGGAUGGUGCAAGCAUCUCGGAGUUGGAACAUUCGCUUUGAUGAGAUGAUCAAAGCGUUUGGGUUUACACAGACUUAUGGAGAAGCCUGUGUUUACAAGAAAGUGAGUGGGAGCUCUGUAGCAUUUCUCAUAUUAUAUGUGGAUGACAUACUAUUGAUGGGAAAUGAUAUAGAAUUCUUGGAAAGUAUAAAGGCCUACUUGAAUAAGUGUUUUUUAAUGAAGGACCUUGGAGAAGCUGCUUAUAUAUUAGGCAUCAAGAUCUAUAGAGAUAGAUCAAGACGCCUCAUUGGUCUUUCACAGAGUACGUACCUUGACAAGAUAUUGAAGAAGUUCAAUAUGGAUCAGUCCAAGAAGGGGUUCUUGCCUGUAUUGCAAGGUGUGCAAUUGAGCAAGGCUCAAUGCCCGACCACGGCAGAAGAUAUAGAAAAGAUGAGUGUCAUCCCCUAUGCCUCGGCCAUAGGGUCUAUUAUGUAUGCCAUGCUGUGUACCAGACCUGAUGUAAACCUUGCCGUAAGUUUGGUAGGAAGGUACCAAAGUAAUCCCGGCAUGGAACACUGGACAGCGGUCAAGAAUAUCCUGAAGUACCUGAAGAGGACUAAGGAUAUGUUUCUCGUUUAUGGAGGUGAUGAGGAGCUCGUCGUAAAGGGUUACGUCGACGCUAGCUUCGACACAGAUCUGGAUGACUCGAAGUCACAGACCGGAUACGUGUAUAUAUUGAAUGGAGGAGCAGUAAGCUGGUGCAGUUGCAAGCAAAGCGUCGUGGCGGGAUCUACAUGUGAAGCGGAGUACAUGGCAGCCUCGGAGGCAGCACAGGAAGCAGUCUGGAUGAAGGAGUUCAUUACCGACCUAGGGUGAUUCCCAAUGCGUCGGGCCCGAUGACUCUCUUCUGUGACAACACUAGAGCCAUUGCCCUUGCGAAGGAGCCCAGGUUUCACAGGAAGACCAGGCAUAUCAAGCAUCGCUUCAACUCCAUUCGUGAAAGUGUUCAAAAUGGAGACAUAGAUAUUUGUAAAGUACACACGGACUUGAAUGUAGCAGAUCCGUUGACUAAACCUCUCCCUAGGGCAAAACAUGAUCAACACCAGGACGCAAUGGGUGUUCGAUUCAUCACAAUGUAACUAGAUUAUUGACUCUAGUGCAAGUGGGAGACUGUUGGAAAUAUGCCCUAGAGGCAAUAAUAAAUGGUUAUUAUUAUAUUUCUUUGUUCAUGAUAAUCGUCUAUUGUUCAUGCUAUAAUUGUAUUGUCCGGAAAUCGUAAUACAUGUGUGAAUACAUAGACCACAAAGUGUCCCUAGUAAGCCUCUAGUUGACUAGCUCGUUGAUCAACAGAUAGUCAUGGUUUCCUGACUAUGGACAUUGGAUGUCAUUGAUAACGGGAUCACAUCAUUAGGAGAAUGAUGUGACGGACAAGACCCAAUCCUAAGCAUAGCAUAAAAGAUCGUGUAGUUUCGUUUGCUAGAGCUUUUCCAAUGUCAAGUAUCUUUUCCUUAGACCAUGAGAUCGUGCAACUCCCGGAUACCGUAGGAGUGCUUUGGGUGUGCCAAACGUCACAACGUAACUGGGUGACUAUAAAGGUGCACUACGGGUAUCUCCGAAAGUGUCUGUUGGGUUGGCACGGAUCGAGACUGGGAUUUGUCACUCCGUGUGACGGAGAGGUAUCUCUGGGCCCACUCGGUAAUGCAUCAUCAUAAUGAGAUCAAUGUGACUAAGGCGUUAGUCACGGGAUCAUGCAUUGCGGUACGAGUAAAGAUACUUGCCGGUAACGAGAUUGAACAAGGUAUUGGGAUACCGACGAUCGAAUCUCGGGCAAGUAACAUACCGAUUGACAAAGGGAAUUGUAUACGGGAUUGAUUGAAUCCUCGACACCGUGGUUCAUCCAAUGAGAUCAUCGUGGAACAUGUGGGAGCCAACAUGGGUAUCCAGAUCCCGCUGUUGGUUAUUGACCGGAGAGGCGUCUCGGUCAUGUCUGCAUGUCUCCCGAGCCCGUAGGGUCUACACACUUAAGGUUCGGUGACGCUAGGGUUGUAGAGAUAUGUGUAUGCGGAAACCCGAAAGUUGUUCAGAGUCCUGGAAGAGAUCCCGGACGUCACGAGAGGUUCCGGAAUGGUCCGGAGGUGAAGAAUUAUAUAUAGGAAGUCAAGUUUCGGCCACCGGGAAAGUUUCGGGGGUUGCCGGUAUUGUACCGGGACCACCGGAAGGGUCCCGGGGGUCCACCGGGUGGGGCCACCUAUCCCGGAGGGCCACGUGGGCUGAAAGUGGAAGGGAACCAGCCCUUAGUGGGCUGGGGCGCCCCCCUUGGGCCUCCCCCCAUGCGCCUAGGGUUGGGAACCCCAAGGGGGGGAGCUUCCCCCUUGCCUUGGGGGGCAAGGCAACCCCUUCCCCCCUUUGGCCGCCUCCCCCCCUUGGAGAUCCUAUCUCCCAGGGCCGGCGCCCCCCCAGGGGGCCUAUAUAAAGGGGGGGAGGGAGGGCAGCAACACACAGCCUUGGGCGCCUCCCUCCUCCCCUGCAACACCUCUCUCUCUCUCGCAGAAGCUCGGCGAAGCCCUGCCGGAGACCCGCUACGUCCACCACCACGCCGUCGUGCUGCUGGAUCUCCAUCAACCUCUCCUUCCCCCUUGCUGGAUCAAGAAGGAGGAUACGUCGCUGCACCGUACGUGUGUUGAAUGCGGAGGUGCCGUCCGUUCGGCACUCGGUUAUCGGUGAUUUGGAUCACGGCGAGUACGACUCCGUCAUCCACGUUCACGCUUCCGCUCGCGAUCUACAAGGGUAUGUAGAUGCACUCCCUUCCCCUCGUUGCUAGUACACUCCAUAGAUGCAUCUUGGUGAGCGUAGGAAAACUUUAAAUUAUGCUACGAUUCCCAACAGCAUGUUCAUCAACAUAGACAAGUAUGUCAUCUCCGGCGAAUAUUCGAUCCUCUUUUCGGCCCUUCUUCAAAGAACCGAACAGAGUCUCAGGGGCUGCUAUCUAUACACAGGCAUAUAUUUUCAUAUGAAAAAACAGCUAAGAAUAUUGCACCACAUACCUCAAAGCCUGCCAGCAGGCUGGUGAAGGCUUCAUUCAGACCGCUUUUGGCGGACUGAACCUUUUCAACCACCGUACCCAUCAGGGUAUGGUAUUCAUCCAUGAUGGAAGCACGACGAAGUGCUUCCCUCAAAGUGUCCGGCGCCUCCGGAUUGGUGGAGGUUGCCGGUGGAGUUGACACUCCCCCCUCUUUCGAAGGGGGCUGCUCGCUCGGCUCCGGAACAGUGUGGGUCUCCGGAGCGGUAUUCGGCUGGGGGCCGGACUGGUCAAGGCCCCCGCCGUCAAUAUCCAUGAGGAUUUUGCCCCCCAUGUUUUCGGCAGCCAAGGCGUCACCCUCUGGCGCCGUCUCAGCGGCCUUCCGCACCUCACCCUGGCCCGGAGAGGUCCUUUGGGAUAACAACUCGGUUUCAUCCAUGGCAUGUGGCGGGGAGGCUCGCGGAGGCAACUCGCUCUCCAUCAUCUCCGGCGCCAAAGAAUUCCCUGAAGAUAGUGAUUGUUUGGGGAGAUCUCGGGCCGGACUGAAACACAUAAACGAUAUGUUAUCCUACAAUCUGUGAAAGGAUGGAUAUUUGGUAUCUUUUGAAUACUUACGAUUUGGCCAGGGGCUUCACCUUGGGCGCCACUGGGGGAUGGCUUCGGCAUUGGAGUCCGAGCCAUCCGAGAGGGCCAUCUUCCCCUUUUGGACGCCUGCGCCUCUGGGUCAGCAGAGGCUGCCCUCUUCUUCUUCUCCUCCUUGAGGGAGAGUUGCUCUCUUCCUCCUCCUCCUCCUCUUCGUAUUCAUCUCCCUCAUGAGAGGAGAGAACUUCAGUAUCUUCAGACGCAGCGUCCGAAGUACAUCUGUGGCGGAGGCCACGUUUGGCCUCCUUCCCCUUCUUCUUGGCCUUCUUCUCCGGCGCGUGGUACGGCGCCGGAACCAGCAUCCUCGUUAGCAGAGGAAUGGCUGGGUCUUCGGGUAGCGGAGCCGGACAUUGAAUCCGCUCCGCCUUCUUUGUCCAGCCCUGAAGGAAGAAUGGAAGCUCAGCAUACCCCUCGGAUUUACAAGUGGAAGUUAUGUUUGGAAAUCAGAAAACUUACGGGAGUGGCCGGAUGAGUACAGUCGUGGCCGAUGUCAUCGGUCGUCUCUGGCCACGACUUCUGGGCCUUAAAGAGCAGCUUUCAGGUGUCCUCCUGCGUUGUGCUGAAGAACCCCUGUAGGGUCCGAGGGCCGGCCGGAUCGAAUUCCCACAGAUGGAGAGACCGGCGCUGGCAGGGGAGAAUCCGGCGAAAAAGCAUCACCUGGACCACACCGACGAGUGUGGUGUUCUUCUCUAUCAUAUUCUUGAUGCGCUUCUGCAGCGUCAUCACCUCGUCGGACAACGCCCAGUCCAGACCCUUGUUAAUCCACGAUGUGAGCCGCAUUGGAGGCCCGGAUUUGAACUCAGGAGUGGCAGCCCAUUUGGUGUCGCGAGGUUCCGUGAUGUAGAACCACUCCUGCUGCCACCCCUUCACGGUCUCCACAAAGGCCGCCUAGGCCAGGUGACAUUGGGAAGCUUGCUCACCAUGGCGCCGCCGCAGUCUGCAUGUUGCUCGUCGACCACUUUCGGCUUCACAUUCAAAACCUUGAGCCAUAGGCCGAAGUGGGGGGGGAUACGGAGGAACACCUCACACACGACGAUGAAUGCCGAAAUGUUGAGGAAGGAAUUUGGGGCUAGAUCGUGGUAAUCAAGCCCGUAGUAGAACAUGAGGCCACCGACGGAAGGGUGGAGAGGAAACCCUAGUCCGCGGAGGAAGUGGGGGAUGAACACCACCCUCUCAUUGGGAUCCGGAGUAGGGGUGACCUGCUUUUUGGUAGGAAGCCGGUGCGCGAUUUUCGCGGCCAAGUACCCUGCUUCAAAAAGUUCCUUGAUGUUCCUCUCUGUGACGGAGGAAGCCAUCCACUUGCCCUGCGAACCCGAUCCGGCCAUGACUGGAGUGUUUGGUGGCUACAGAAAAGAUUGAGACUUGGGCGCUGGAGCUCGAGGACGGAAGGGUUGAGGAAGGAGAAAGCGUGGGGAAAAGAUGGGUUCUUAUCCUCUUAAAAGGGCAGUGAAUAUCAAGUGCCCCCUCGCAAGCCUUAAAACUCGCCUAUUCCCAAGGGGUCGUGCAAAUGGCUCGGUUGGAUUACCCAAACCCGUAUUGAUGAGAAUCCCGCAAUAAGGGGACACAAUCUCUGCUUUGACAAGACAUGUCAGUAGGGGUCGUGCCUCGAAACCCAGGGCGGAAGGACAAAAAAUGGUUCGAUAUGAUGAUAAGGCCGGAUGUAACGUUUCGUCGAAAAAAGUUGUCAGUGGACAUAACUUAUUUUGUUCAAGUAUUUUGUCCUUGUGGUUUAGGGUUGUAACUGUUUUACAGAGCCGGAUAUAGUUCCCCUGUUCAACUGCUUUGGUGUAUUCGGAGGGGGAACCCGCCUUGCAAUGCCGAAGACAAUCUGCGCGCCGGAUACAUCGUCAUUGAAGCCUGGUUCAGGGGCUACUGAGGGAGUCCUGGAUUAUGGGGUCCUCGGGGAGCCGGCCUAUGUUACGUGGGACGGAUUGAUGGGCCGUGAAGAUACGAGAUAGAAGACCUUCCCCCGUGUCCGGAUGGGACUCUCCUUUGCGUGGAUGGCAAGCUUGGCGUACGGAUGUGUAGUUUCCUUUCUCUGUAAACCGACUCUGUACAACCCUAGGCCCCUCCAGUGUCUAUAUAAACUGGAAGGGUUUAGUCCAUAGGGGAAAAAACAAAUCAUACAGGCUAGACAUCUAGGGUUUAGCCAUUACGAUCUCGAGGUAGAUCGACUCUUGUAACCCCUAUACUCAUCAAAGUCAAUCAAGCAGGAAGUAGGGUAUUACCUCCAUUAAGAGGGCCCGAACCUGGGUAAAACAUCGUGUCCCCUGCCUCCUGUUACCUUCGAUCGUCAGAUGCACAGUUCGGGACCCCCUACCCGAGAUCGGCCGGUUUUGACACCGAUAGAGAUCCAUAUGAUGUAACUCUUUUUGCGGUGUGUUUGUUGGGAUCCGAUGAACUUUGAGUUUAUGAUCAGAUCUAUCUUUUUAUCCACGAAAGUUAUUUGAGUCUUCUUUGAUCUCUUAUAUGCAUGAUUGCUUAUAGCCUUAUAUUUCUUUUCCGAUAUGUGGGUUUUGUUUGACCAACUUGAUCUAUUUAUCUGCAAUGGGAACAUGUGCUUUGUGAUGGGUUUGAUCUUACGGUGCUUGAUCCCAGUGACAGAAGGGGAACCGACAUGUAUGUAUCGUUCCUAUUAAGGAUAACAAGAUGGGGUCUAUUUCUACAUAAAUAGUUCUUGUCUACAUCAUGUCAUCGUUCUUAUUGCAUUACUCCAUUUUUCCAUGAACUUAAUACACUAGAUGCAUGCUGGAUAGCGGUCGAUGUGUGGAGUAAGAGUAGUAGAUGCAGGCAGGAGUCGGUCUACUAAUCUUGGAUGUGAUGCCUAUAUAAUGAUCAUUGCCUGGAUAUCGUCAUGAUUAUUUGAAGUUCUAUCAACUUCCCAACAGUAAUUUGUUCACCCACCGUUUGCUAUUUUUCUCGAGAGAAGCCACUAGUGAAACCUACGACCCCCGGGUCUCUUCUUCAUUAUAUUUGCCUUUGCGAUCUAUUUUCCGUUGCUUUUAUUUUCAGAUCUAUUAAACCAAAAAAUACAAAAAUACCUUGCUGCACUUUAUUUUAUUUGGCGUUCGAUCUAUCAAUAUUACAACUUUCUUCCGUCCACGUGCCAAUUUCUAGCGCCGUUACCCGAAAGGGAUUGACAACCCCUUUAACACGUCGGGUUGUGAGUAUUUGUUAUUUGUGUGCAGGGGAUGUUUACGUAGUGUUGCUUGGUUCUCCUAUUGGUUCGAUAACCUUGGUCUCAUCACUGAGGUUAAUACCUACCGUUGCUGUGCUACAUCAUCCCUUCCUCUUUGGGAAAAUACCGACGUAGUUCAAGCCAACAUCAAAAGGAAUUUCUGGCGCCGUUGCCGGGGAGACAUCAUGAACAUCUACCAGGUUCCUAAUCACAAAUCUCAUCUCCUCGCAAUUUACAUUAUUUGCCAUUUUCCUCUCCCCCACUUUACAAAAAUUUGUCGUUUUAUUCGCGCUCAUUUUCGUUCGCUGUUUUCUUGCCGGAUCUAUCUGUGCUCUUGCUUUCUAGCCAUAAUGGCUAGUGUGACUACUCCUCCUUUGUCACCAUAUUUUGAAGUUUUAUACCUCAAGCAACGUCAAGGAGAAAAUAUGAAAGAUGCUUGGUAUAGGAAUCUUACCGUGUUUGCAACCUAAAGGGAGAUGCAAAGAUUUUACUUCGUAAUUUUUACAUAGGAUUGGCUUUGCAUCAUAGACAACUCUUAGAUUUUGCCGCUAAAGGGAAUUUUAUUGAGCUUGAUGCCAAUGCUGCCUAUGAAAUUUUAGAAGAAAUUUUGGGGGUUCCACCUCAAAAGAAGGGGUUUUCUUUCACCCCAGAGGGAGUUCAAAUGUUGGACAAACUUGGUGAUUUGCACAAACAUAUGGUUGAAUUGCAAAAGUAUAAUGAACCCCUCAAACAUCUUAAUGGUAGUAUCAAUCACAUGAAUACUUUGAUUACUCUUUGCAAUAAGCGAUUGGAUAUUUUAGAUCUCAAGAUGGUAUCUUUUACUGAGAAUUUAGGGGAGCGCAAAGAGCCUCCCAGGUUUGAGAAAUCCCUCACAAAAUUUGCCAAAACCACGGAUGACAAAACUUAGAUCAUUGCUUUAUGACUAGCUAAGGGCAUGAAACGAUAGCACUUGUUGGGAGGCAACCCAAUGAAUAAAAUUUAUUUUUGUCUUUUGCUUUCUGUUUUUGACUGUUAGCACAAUUAUGCUACUGUUAUGAUUGUGUUUUUUGUGUUUUAGUUAGUGUUUGUGCCAAGCAAAGCCUUUAGGAUCAUGUUGGGUGAUAGUAGAUUUGAUCUUGCUGAAAAACAGAAACUUUUGCACUGACGAAAAUAAUUCUCAUUUUUAAUAGAAGAGUGCUUUGAGUUGAUUCUUUUUGCAGAACAUUAAUAUACAAAUUGUUCACGUGGUCCUAUUUUUUAGAAUUUUUGGAGUUACAGAAGUAUUCGAAAUAUCCAGAUUGCUACAAAUUGUUCUGUUUUUGACAGAUUUUGUUUUCUUUGCAUUGUGUGCUUGUUUUGAUGAUUCUAUGGUUUUCUUUGAUGAGUUUUUGCCAUAGAAAAGUUGGAACACAGUAGAUAUAAUGCAAGAAUAAAAUAUGAAUUGGUCUGCUCAGUACUUAUAGUAGUGAUUUGUUUUCUUAUACUAACGGAUCUCACGAAGGUUUUGUUGAGUUUUGUGUGAUUGAAGUUUUCAAGUUUUGGGUGAUGUCACGAUGGAUGAAGGAAUAAGGAGUAAGAAGAGCCUAAGCUUGGGGAUGCCCAUGGCAUCCCAAGAUAUUAUCCAAAGAGAAGCAAGCAACUAAGCUUGGGGAUGCCCCGAGUGGCAUCCCCUCUUUCUUCUAACGACCAUCGGUAUUUUACUCGAAGCUAUAUUUUUAUUCGUCGCAUACUAUGAUUUUUGCUUGGAGCGUCAUGUAUGAUAUGAGUCUUUGCUUGUUUUGCUUUGUGUUCUAAGUCUUGAAUCCUUGCUGGACACACCUAUUUGAGAGAGCCAAAAUUAUGCCAUGACUUGUUAGAAUUGCUCUCUAUGCUUCACUUAAAUCUUUAUGAGCUAUGGAAUUGCUCUAGUGCUUCACUUAUAUCUUUUUGAGCACGGUGUGCUUUAGUAUUUUUGAAUAUAUGCUCUCUUGCUUCACUUAGAUUUGUUUGAGAGUUAGUAAUUUUUAAGAAAUUCUCUCUUGCUUCACUUAGAUUAAUUUGAGACAAAGAAAUAUUAUGAUCAUGAUCUUCAUUUAUAUUUGUUUGAGCUUAUCAAAUGCAACACAUAAAAAUUAGUUCCAAAGUGAUAGAUAUCCAAGAAGGAUAUAAUAAAAACUUUCAUGAAGAUCAUUGGACAAAAUAAACUUGGUUCCGUAAUAGUUCUGAGAUAUGAUGAUGUGAUAUGUGAGUCAUGUUGAUGAGUAAUUGUGCCUUAGUAAGAAUAUUGGUGUUAAGGUUUGUGAUUCCCUAUGCAAGCACGAAAGUCAAUAGUCAUCCAAUGAAAUUAUAUCCUACUUUUGGUGCAUUAUUCGGUGUUAAUUAUGCUAAAUGCUCUCUUAUAAGAUUAUUUGUUUCUUGGUUGGUCGCUUCUCAAUCUUUUGCUAGCCUUCAUUUUGCACUAAGUAUGAUCACAACUUGUGCAUCCAAAAACCUUAAAACCAAUUUUGCCACAUGAGUCCACUAUAUCUACCUAUAUGCGGUAUUUUUUUGCCGUUCUAAGCAAAUUUGUAUGUGCCAUCUCUAGUUUUCAAAAUAAAUUACUCUUUUGUGUGCUCAUACCGCUCGUGAGGCGGUGAGGGGUGGCCGAUAUUUUCCAUGCUAGAUGUGUUAUUCUCACGAUGAGUGUUUAUUCACUUGUCAUUGCACGAGAGUAAGGCAAAGGUAUUAGGGAUGCCCAGUCCCAAAAUGAAAAAUGAAUUUACUUUAUGUUGUCAAAUAAUAAAUUCCUUGGAAAGUGUUGGUAUGGAGGGCACCCGUGGAUACGGUUAGCCAUGGAAAGUGAAAGUAUGGUGGAAAAGGAAUAAACUUUAUUUUCUGUUUUGGAACCGCCUAUGAUAUAUCUAGCAUGGGAAGUGUUGGGAACUCAAAGUCGUUUUCGUUGGUGGGAAAAGCAUGCCUCCCAAAAUGUUUUUAUCUCUAUGUUUUUUUUGCUUUGAGCUCUGCCACCUCUACAAAUCCCUACUUCCCUCCGCGAAGGGCCUUUCUUUUACUUUAUGCAAUUUUUAUUUUUAAUUUGAGUCUCCAUCUUCUCUUAUAAAGCACCAACUAAGGGGCACUAUGAUCGUACUUGAGGACUGGUGUAGCUAAUAUGCGAGUGUGUUUCAUGAAUGGAUCAAUGUUUGAGCAUUAUUGGCUAGGGAUAGCUUAUUUUAGCGUUGAUAUUUUGAAAGACAUGGUUGCUUGUUGAUAUGCUUGAGUAUUUAAGUCUCAUGUCAAAACUAGACUAUUGCUUUGAACCAUACAGAAGUCCAAAUGUCCAUGCUAAAAAGAAAAGAACAUGAGAUGACAUGUUAGGCAACAUUCCACAUCAAAAAAACUGUUUUUCAUCAUUUACCUACUCGAGGACGAGCAGGAAUUAAGCUUAGGGAUGUUGAUACGUCUCCAACGUAUCUAUAAUUUUUUAUUGUUUCAUGCUGUUACAUUAUCAUUCUUGGAUGUUUUACAAUCAUUUUAUAGUCACUUUAUAUCAUUUUUUGGUACUAACCUAUUGACAUAGUGCCAAGUGCCAGUUGCUAUUUUUGCAUGUUUUUUACAUCGCAGGAAAUCAAUAUCAAAUGGAGUCCAAACGCAGCGAAAGUUUUUGUGGAUUUUUUAGACCAAAAGGCAUCCAGUGGGCCGGAGAAGCGCUUGGGGGGUGCUCUGAGGGGAGCACAACCCACCAGGGCAUGCCUGGGGGCCCAGGCGCGCCCUGGUGUGUUGUGCCCACCUCGGGUGCCCCCCGGAGUGCCUCUUUGCUCUAUAAAUACCCCAAUAUUCCAGAAACCCUAGGGGAGUCGAUGAAAAUCAAUUCCAGCCGCCGCAAGUUCUAGAACCACCAGAUCCAAUCUAGACACCAUCACGGAGGGGUGCAUCAUGUCCAUUGGUGCCUCUCUGAUGAUACGUGAGUAGUUCUUUGUAGACCUACGGGUCCGUAGUUAGUAGCUAGAUGGCUUCAUCUCUCUCGUUUGAUUCUCAGUACAAUGGUCUUUUGGAGAUCCAUAUGAUGUAACUCUUUUUGUGGUGUGUUUGUUGGGAUCCGAUGAACUUUGAGUUUAUGAUCAGAUCUAUCUUUUUAUCCAUGAAAGUUAUUUGAGUCUUCUUUGAUCUCUUAUAUGCAUGAUUGCUUAUAGCCUCGUAUUUCUUCUCUGAUAUUUGGUUUUUUCGCCAACUUGAUCUAUUUAUCUUGCAAUGGGAAGAGGUUUUUUGUGAUGGGUUCGAUCUUACGGUGCUUGAUCCCAGUGACAGAAGGGGAACCGACACGUAUGUAUCGUUGCUAUUAAGGAUAAGAAGAUGGGGUCUAUUUCUACAUAAAUAGAUCUUGUCUACAUCAUGUCAUCGUUCUUAUUACAUUACUCCGUUUUCCAUGAACUUAAUACACUAGAUGCAUGCUGGAUAGCGGUCGAUGUGUGGAGUAAUUGUAGUAGAUGCAUGCAGGAGUCGGUCUGCUAAUCUUGGAUGUGAUGCCUAUAUAAUGAUCAUUGCCUGGAUAUCGUCAUGAUUAUUUGAAGUUCUAUCAAUUGCCCAACAGUAAUUUGUUCUCCCACCGUUUGUAUUUUUCUCGAGAAAAGCCACUAGUGAAACCUACGGCCCCCGGGUCUCUUCUUCAUUAUAUUUGCCUUUGCGAUAUAUUUUCCUUUGAUUUUAUUUUCAGAUCUAUUAAACCCAAAAAUACAAAAAUACCUUGCUGCACUUUAUUUUAUUUGGCGUUCGAUCUAUCAAUCUAUUACAACUUUCUCCCGUCCAUAUGCCAAUUUCUGGCGCAGUUACCCGAAAGGGAUUGACAACCCCUUUAACAUGUCGGGUUGCGAGUAUUUGUUAUUUGUGUGUAGGUGAUGUUUACGUAGUGUUGCUUGGUUCUCCUACUGGUUCGAUAACCUUGGUCUCAUCGCUGAGGGAAAUACCUACUGUUGUUGUGCUGCAUCAUCCCUUCCUCUUUGGGGAAAUACCGACGUAGUUCAAGCCAAUAUCAGGUGUCUAUCUAAGUGGGAGUUCUUAAGUAAUUUGAUUAAUUGAACUUAAUUUAUCAAGAACUGAGUCCUCAUACUAUUUGCAUAUUUAUGUUGUAGAUCAAUAGCUCGCGUUGUAGCUCCCCUAUGUUUUUUAUAUGUUCCUAGAGAAAAACUAAGUUGAAAGAUGAUAGUAGCAAUGACGCGGAAUGGGUCCGUGAUCCGAGGAUUAUCCUAAUUGCUGCACAGAAGAAUUAUGUCCUUGGUGCACCGCUAGGUGACAGACCUAUUGCAGGAGCAGAUGCAGACGUUAUGAACGUUUGGCAAGCUCGAUAUGAUGACUACUUGAUAGUUUAGUGCGGCAUGCUUUACAGCUUAGAACCGGGACUUCAAAAAUGUUUUGAACGCCACGGAGCAUAUGAGAUGUUCGAAGAGUUGAAAUUGGUAUUUCAGACUCAUGCCCAUGUCGAGAGGUAUGAGACCUUUGACAAGUACUUUGCCUACAAGAUGGAGGAGAAUAGCUCAACCAGUGAGCAUGUGCUCAGAAUGUCUGGGUACUACAAUAACUUGAAUCAAGUGGGAGUUAAUCUUCCAGAUAAGAUAGUGAUUGACAGAGUUCUCUAGUCACUAUCACCAAGCUACUAGAACUUCGUGAUGAACAAUAAUGUGCAAGGGAUAGGGGAAAAGAUUCCCGAGCUCUUCGUGAUGCUGAAAUCGACGAAGGUAGAAAUCAAGAAACAACAUCAAGUGUUGAUGGUUAACAAGACUACUAGUUUCAAGAUAAAGGGCAAAGGAAAAGAAAGGGAACUUCAAGAAGAUUGACAAGCAAGUUGCCACUCCCGUGAAGAAGCUCAAAGCUAGACCUAAGCCUGAAACUGAGUGCUUAUACUGCAAAGGGAAUGGUCACUGGAAGCGGAACUACCCAAAUACUUGGCAGAUAAGAAGGAUGGCAAAGUGAACAAAGGUAUAUUUGAUAUACAUGUUAUUGAUGUGUACUUUACUAGUGUUCAUAAUAACCCCAGGGUAUUUGAUACCGGUUCAGUUGCUAAGAUUAGUAACUCGAAACAGGAGUUGCAAAAUGAACAGAGACUAGUUAAGGGCGAGGUGAUGAUGUGUGUUGGAAGUGAUUCCAAGGUUGAUAAGAUCACCAUCGCACACUCCCUCUACCUUCGGGAUUAGUGUUGGACCUAAAUAAAUGUUAUUUGAUGUUUGCGUUGAGCAUGAAUAUGAUUGAAUCAUGUUUAUUGCGAUACAAUUAUUCAUUUAAGUUAGAGAAUAAUUAUUGUUCUGUUUACAUGAAUAAAACCUUCUAUGGUCAUACACCCAAUGUAAAUGGUUUAUUGAAUCUCGAUCAUAGUGAUACACAUAUUCAUAAUAUUGAUGCCAAAAGAUGCAAAGUUGAUAAUGAUAGUGCAACAUAUUUGUGGCACUGCCAUUUAGGUCAUAUUGGUGUAAAGCGCAUGAAGAAACUCCAUGCAGAUGGGCUUUUGGAAUCACUUGAUUAUGAAUCAUUUGAUACUUGUGAACCAUGCCUCAUGGGCAAGAUGACUAAGACUCCGUUCUCCGGAACAAUGGAGCGAGCUAAUUACUUAUUGGAAAUAAUACAUACCGAUGUAUGCGGUCCGAUGAGUGUUGAAGCUCGCGGCAGGUAUCGUUAUUUUUUGACCUUCACAGAUGAUUUGAGCAGAUAUGGGUAUAUCUACUUAAUGAAACACAAGUCUGAAAUAUUUGAAAAGUUCAAAGAAUUUCAGAGUGAAGUGGAGAAUCAUCGUAACAAGAAAAUAAAGUUUCUACGAUCUGAUCGCGGAGGCAAAUAUUUGAGUUACGAGUUUGGCCUUCAUUUAAAAAAAUGUGGAAUAGUUUCACAACUCACGCCACCUGGAACACCAUAGCGUAAUGGUGUGUCCGAACGUCGUAACCGUACUUUAUUAGAUAUGGUGCGAUCUAUGAUGUCUCUUACCGAUUUACCACUAUUGUUUUGGGGUUAUGCAUUAGAGACAACUGCAUUCACGUUAAAUAGGCACCAUCUAAAUCCGUUGAGACGACACCGUAUGAACUGUGGUUUGGCAAGAAACCUAAGUUGUCGUUUUUUAAAGUUUGGGGUUGCAACACGUAUGUUAAAAGGCUUCAGCCUGAUAAGCUCGAACCCAAAUCGGAGAAGUGUGUCUUCAUAGGAUACCCUAAGGAAACAAUUGGGUACACCCUCUACCACAGAUCCAAAGGCAAGAUCUUUGUUGCCAAGAAUGGAAACUUUCUAGAGAACGAGUUUUCUCUCGAAAGAAGUGAGUGGGAGGAAAGUAGAACUUGAUGAGGUAAUAAUACCUUCUCUCGAAUUGGAAAGUAGCUCAUCAGAGAAAUCUGUUCCCGUGAUGCCUACACCAACUAGAGAGGAAGCUAAUGAUAAUGAUCAUAAAACUUCGGAUCAAGUUACUACUGGACAUCGUAGGUCGAAUAGAACACAUUCCUCACCAGAGUGGUACGGUAAUCUUGUCCUAGAAGUCAUGUUAUUAAACCAUGGUGAACCUAUGAACUAUGAAGUAGCUAUGAUGAGCCCAGAUUUCGACAGAUGGCUUGAGGCCAUGAAAACUGAGAUAGGAUCCAUAUAUGAGAACAAAGUGUAGACUUUGGUGGACUUGCCCAAUGACCGGCAAGGCAUUGAGAAUAAAUGGAUCUUCAAGAGGAAGACGGACACUGAUAGUAGUGUUACUAUCUACAAAUCUCGACUUGUCGCAAAAGGUUUUCGACAAGUUCAAGGUGUUGACUACGAUAAGAUUAUCUCACUCGUAGUGAUGCUUAAGUCUGUCCGAAUCAUGUUAGCAAUUGUCGCAUUUAUAAAAUCUGGCAAAUGGAUGUCAAAACUGCAUUCCUUAUUGGAUAUCUUAAAGAAGAGUUAUAUAUGAUGCAACCAAAAGAUUUUGUCGAUCCUAAAGGUGCUAACAAAGUGUGCAAACUCCAGCGACCCAUCAAUGGACUGGUGCAAGCAUCUCGGAGUUGGAAUAUAUGCUUUGAUAAGUUGAUCAAAGCAUAUGGUUUUAUACAUACUUUUGGAGAAGCCUGUAUUUACAAGAAAGUGAGUGGGAGCUCUACAUCAUUUCUAAUAUUAUAUGUGGAUGACAUAUUGUUGAUUGGAAAUGAUAUAGAAUAUCUGGAUAGCAUAAAAGGAUACUUGAAUAAAAGUUUUUCAAUGAUAGACCUCGGUGAAGAUGCUUAUAUAUUGGGCAUCAAGAUCUAUAGAGAUAGAUCAUGAUGCUUAAUAAGACUUUCAUAAAGCACAUACCUUGAUAAAGUUUUGAAGAAGUUCAAAAUGGAUCAGUCAAAGAAAGGGUUCUUGCCUGUGUUACAAGGUGUGAAGUGUUGGGAAUCGUAGCAUAAUUUUAAAAUUUUCCUACGCUCACCAAGAUGCAUCUAUGGAGUGUACUAGCAACGAGGGGAAAGGAGUGCAUCUACAUACCCUUGUAGAUCGCGAGUGGAAGCGUUCCAAUGAACGUGGAUGACGGAGUCGUACUCGCGGUGAUCCAAAUCACCGAUGACCGAGUGCCGAACGGACGGCACCUCCGCGUUCAACACACGUACGGUGCAGCGACGUCUCCUCCUUCUUGAUCCAGCAAGGGGGAAGGAGAGGUUGAUGGAGAUCCAACAGCAUGACGGCGUGGUGGUGGAUGUAGCGGGUCUCCAGCAGGGCUUCGCCGAGCUUCUGCGAGAGAGAGAGAGGUGUUGCAGGGGAGGAGGGAGGCGCCCAAGGCUGUAGGUUGCUGCCCUCCCUCCCCCCUUUAUAUAGGCCCCCUUGGGAGGGGGGGCGGCCAAAACCCAUCUAGGGUUGGGGGGGCGGCGGCCAAGGGGUGGAAAGGGGUGCCUUGCCCCCCAAGGCAAGGGGGAAGCUCCCCCCUAGGGUUCCCAACCCUAGGUGCAUGGGGGGAGGCCCAAGGGGGGCGCCCCAGCCCACUAAGGGCUGGUUCCCUUCCACUUUCAGCCCACGGGGCCCUCCGGGACAGGUGGCCCCACCCGGUGGACCCCCGGGACCCUUUCGGUGGUCCCGGUACAAUACCGGUAACCCCCGAAACUUUCCCGGUGGCCGAAACUUGACUUCCUAUAUAUAAUUCUUCACCUCCGGACCAUUCCAGAACCUCGCGUGACGUCCGGGAUCUCAUCCGGGACUCCGAACAACUUUUGGGUUUCCGCAUACAUAUAUCUCUACAACCCUAGCGUCACCGGACCUUAAGUGUGUAGACCCUACGGGUUCGGGAGACAUGCAGACAUGACCGAGAUGCCUCUCCGGUCAAUAACCAACAGCGGGAUCUGGAUACCCAUGUUGGCUCCCACAUGUUCCACGAUGAUCUCAUCAGAUGAACCACGGUGUCGAGGAUUCAAUCAAUCCGUAUGCAAUUCCCUUUGUCAAUCGGUAUGUUACUUGCCCGAGAUUCGAUCGUCGGUAUCCCAAUACCUUGUUCAAUCUCGUUACCGGCAAGUCUCUUUACUCGUACCGCAAUGCAUGAUCCCAUGACUAACGCCUUAGUCACAUUGAGCUCAUUAUGAUGAUGCAUUACCGAGUGGGCCCAGAGAUACCUCUCCGUCACACGGAGUGACAAAUCCCAGUCUCGAUCCGUGCCAACCCAACAGACACUUUCGGAGAUACCCGUAAUGCACCUUUAUAGUCACCCAGUUACGUUGUGACGUUUGGCACACCCAAAGCACUCCUACGGUAUCCGGGAGUUGCACGAUCUCAUGGUCUAAGGAAAAUAUACUUGACAUUGGAAAAGCUCUAGCAAACGAAACUACACGAUCUUUUAUGCUAUGCUUAGGAUUGGGUCUUGUCCAUCACAUCAUUCUCCUAAUGAUGUGAUCCCGUUAUCAAUGACAUCCAAUGUCCAUAGUCAGGAAACCAUGACUAUCUGUUGAUCAACGAGCUAGUCAACUAGAGGCUUACUAGGGACACUUUGUGGUCUAUGUAUUCACACAUGUAUUACGAUUUCCGGACAAUACAAUUAUAGCAUGAACAAUAGACGAUUAUCAUGAACAAAGAAAUAUAAUAAUAACCAUUUAUUAUUGCCUCUAGGGCAUAUUUCCAACAGUCUCCCACUUGCACUAGAGUCAAUAAUCUAGUUACAUUGUGAUGAAUCGAACACCCAUUGCGUCCUGGUGUUGAUCAUGUUUUUCCCUAGGGAGAGGUUUAGUCAACGGAUCUGCUACAUUCAGGUCCGUGUGUACUUUACAAAUAUCUAUGUCUCCAUUUUGAACACUUUCACGAAUGGAGUUGAAGCGACGCUUGAUAUGCCUGGUCUUCCUGUGAAACCUGGGCUCCUUCGCAAGGGCAAUGGCUCCAGUGUUGUCACAGAAGAGAGUCAUCGGGCCCGACGCAUUGGGAAUCACCCCUAGGUCGGUAAUGAACUCCUUCAUCCAGACUGCUUCCUGUGCUGCCUCCGAGGCUGACAUGUACUCCGCUUCACAUGUAGAUCCCGCCACGACGCUUUGCUUGCAACUGCACCAGCUUACUGCUCCUCCAUUCAAUAUAUACACGUAUCCGGUCUGUGACUUCGAGUCAUCCAGAUCUGUGUCGAAGCUAGCGUCGACGUAACCCUUUACGACGAGCUCUUCGUCACCUCCAUAAACGAGAAACAUAUCCUUAGUCCUCUUCAGGUACUUCAGGAUAUUCUUGACCGCUGUCCAGUGUUCCAUGCCGGGAUUACUUUGGUACCUUCCUACCAAACUUACGGCAAGGUUUACAUCAGGUCUGGUACACAGCAUGGCAUACAUAAUAGACCCUAUGGCCGAGGCAUAGGGGAUGACACUCAUCUUUUCUAUAUCUUCUGCCGUGGUCGGGCAUUGAGCCUUGCUCAAUUGCACACCUUGCAAUACAGGCAAGAACCCCUUCUUGGACUGAUCCAUAUUGAACUUCUUCAAUAUCUUGUCAAGGUACGUACUCUGUGAAAGACCAAUGAGGCGUCUUGAUCUAUCUCUAUAGAUCUUGAUGCCUAAUAUAUAAGCAGCUUCUCCAAGGUCCUUCAUUAAAAAACACUUAUUCAAGUAGGCCUUUAUACUUUCCAAGAAUUCUAUAUCAUUUCCCAUCAAUAGUAUGUCAUCCACAUAUAAUAUGAGAAAUGCUACAGAGCUCCCACUCACUUUCUUGUAAACACAGGCUUCUCCAUAAGUCUGUGUAAACCCAAAUGCUUUGAUCAUCUCAUCAAAGCGAAUGUUCCAACUCCGAGAUGCUUGCAUCAGCCCAUAGAUUGAGCGCUGGAGCUUGCAUACUUUGUUAGCAUUCUUAGGAUCGACAAAACCUUCCGGCUGCAUCAUAUACAACUCUUCCUUAAGGAAGCCGUUAAGGAAUGCCGUUUUGACGUCCAUCUGCCAUAUCUCAUAAUCAUAGUAUGCGGCAAUUGCUAACAUGAUUCGGACGGACUUCAGCUUCGCUACGGGUGAGAAAGUCUCAUCGUAGUCAACCCCUUGAACUUGUCGAUAACCCUUAGCGACAAGUCGAGCUUUGUAGAUGGUCACAUUACCAUCCGCGUCCAUCUUCUUCUUAAAGAUCCAUUUGUUUUCUAUGGCUCGCCGAUCAUCGGGCAAGUCAGUCAAAGUCCAUACUUCGUUUUCAUACAUGGAUCCUAUCUCAGAUUUCAUGGCUUCUAGCCAUUUGUCGGAAUCCGGGCCCGCCAUCGCUUCUUCAUAGUUCGAAGGUUCACCGUUGUCUAACAACAUGAUUUCCAGGACAGGGUUGCCGUACCACUCUGGUGCGGAACGUGUCCUUGUGGACCUACGAAGUUCAGUAACUUGAUCCGAAGCUUCAUGAUCAUCAUCAUUAACUUCCUCCCCAGUCGGUGUAGGCACCACAGGAACAUUUUCCCGCGCUGCGCUACUUUCCGGUUCGGAAGGGGUGACUAUCACCUCAUCAAGUUCCACUUUCCUCCCACUCAAUUCUUUCGAGAGAGACUCCUUCUCCAGAAAGGACCCGUUCUUGGCAACGAAGAUCUUGCCUUCGGAUCUGAGGUAGAAGGUAUACCCAAUAGUUUCCUUAGGGUAUCCUAUGAAGACGCAUUUUUUCGAUUUGGGUUCGAGCUUUUCAGGUUGAAGUUUCUUGACAUAAGCAUCGCAUCCCCAAACUUUUAGAAACGACAGCUUAGGUUUCUUCCCAAACCAUAAUUCAUACGGUGUCGUCUCAACGGAUUUCGACGGAGCCCUAUUUAAAGUGAAUGCGGCAGUCUCUAAAGCAUAGCCCCAAAAUGAGAGCGGUAAAUCGGUAAGAGACAUCAUAGAUCGCACCAUAUCCAAUAGAGUGCGAUUACGACGUUCGGACACACCGUUUCUCUGAGGUGUUCCAGGCGGCGUGAGUUGUGAAACUAUUCCACAUUUCCUUAAGUGUGUACCAAAUUCGUGACUUAAAUAUUCUCCACCACGAUCUGAUCGUAAGAAUUUUAUUUUCCUGUCACGUUGAUUCUCGACUUCACUCUGAAAUUCCUUGAACUUUUCAAAGGUUUCAGACUUGUGUUUCAUUAGGUAGACAUACCCAUAUCUACUUAAGUCAUCCGUGAGAGUGAGAACAUAACGAUAUCCUCCGCGAGCCUCAACACUCAUUGGACCGCACACAUCGGUAUGUAUGAUUUCCAAUAAGUUGGUUGCUCGCUCCAUUGUUCCGGAGAACGGAGUCUUGGUCAUCUUACCCAUGAGGCAUGGUUCGCACGUGUCAAAUGAUUCGUAAUCAAGAGACUCCAAAAGUCCAUCUGCAUGGAGCUUCUUCAUGCGCUUGACACCAAUGUGACCAAGGCGGCAGUGCCACAAGUAUGUGGGACUAUCGUUAUCAACUUUACAUCUUUUGGUAUUCACACUAUGAACAUGUGUAACAUCACGUUCGAGAUUCAUCAAAAAUAAGCCAUUGACCAGCGGGGCAUGACCAUAAAACAUAUCUCUCAAAUAAACAGAACAACCAUUAUUCUCGGAUUUAAAUGAGUAGCCAUCUCGAAUUAGACGAGAUCCAGAUACAAUGUUCAUGCUCAAAGCUGGCACUAAAUAACAAUUAUUGAGGUUUAAAACUAAUCCCGUGGGUAGAUCCAGAGGUAGCGUGCCGACGGCGAUCACAUCGACCUUGGAACCAUUCCCGACGCGCAUCGUCACCUCGUCCUUUGCCAGUCUCCGUUUAUUCCGUAGUUCCUGUUUUGAGUUACAAAUAUGAGCAACCGCACCGGUAUCAAAUACCCAGGAGCUACUACGAGUACUGGUAAGGUACACAUCAAUAACUUGUAUAUCACAUAUACCUUUGGUGUUGCCAGCCUUCUUCUUGUCCGCUAAGUAUUUGGGGCAGUUCCGCUUCCAGUGACCACUUCCCUUGCAAUAAAAGCACUCAGUCCCGGGCUUGGGUCCAUUCUUUGACUUCUUCCCAGUAACUGGUUUACCGGGCGCGGCAACUCCCUUGCCGUCCUUCUUGAAGUUCUUCUUACCCUUGCCCUUCUUGAACUUGGUGGUUUUAUUCACCAUCAACACUUGAUGUUCUUUUCUGAUCUCCCCUUCCGCUGAUUUCAGCAUUGAAUAUACCUCGGAAAUGGUCUUUUCCAUCCCCUGCAUAUUGUAGUUCAUCACAAAGCUCUUGUAGCUUGGUGGAAGCGACUGGAGGAUUCUGUCAAUGACCGCGUCAUCCGGGAGAUUAACUCCCAGCUGAGACAAGCGGUUAUGCAACCCAGACAUUCUGAGUAUGUGCUCACUAACAGAACUGUUCUCCUCCAUUUUACAGCUGAAGAACUUGUCGGAGACAUCAUAUCUCCCGACCCGGGCAUGAGCUUGAAAAACUAAUUUCAGCUCCUCGAACAUCUCAUAUGCUCCAUGUUUCUCAAAACGCUUUUGGAGACCCGGUUCUAGGAUGUAAAGCACGCCGCACUGAACGAGGGAGUAAUCAUCAGCACGUGAUUGCCAAGCGUUCACAACGUCUUGGUUCUCUGGGAUUGGUGCUUCACCUAGCGGUGCUUCUAAGACAUAAUCUUUCUUGGCUACUAUGAGGAUGAUCCUCAGGUUCCGGACCCAGUCCGUAUAGUUGCUGCCAUCAUCUUUCAGCUUGGUUUUCUCUAGGAACGCGUUGAAAUUGAGGACAACGUUGGCCAUUUGAUCUACAAGACAUAGUGUAAAGAUUUUAGACUAAGUUCAUGAUAAUUAAGUUCAUCUAAUCAAAUUACUCAAUGAACUCCCACUCAGAUAGACAUCCCUCCAGUCAUCUAAGUGAAACAUGAUCCGAGUUAACUAGGCCGUGUCCGAUCAUCACGUGAGACGGACUAGUCAAGAUCGGUGAACAUCUCCAUGUUGAUCGUAUCUUCUAUACGACUCAUGCUCGACCUUUCGGUCCUCCGUGUUCCGAGGCCAUGUCUGUACAUGCUAGGCUCGUCAAGUCAACCUAAGUGUAUUGCGUGUGUUCCGAGGCCAUGUCUGUACAUGCUAGGCUCGUCAACACCCGUUGUAUGCGAACGUUAGAAUCUAUCACACCCGAUCAUCACGUGGUGCUUCGAAACAACGAACCUUCGCAACGGUGCACAGUUAGGGGGAACACUUUCUUGAAAUUAUUAUAAGGGAUCAUCUUACUUACUACCGUCGUUCUAAGCAAAUAAGAUGCAAAAACAUGAUAAACAUCACAUGCAAUCAAAUAGUGACAUGAUAUGGCCAAUAUCAUCAUGCUCCUUUGAUCUCCAUCUUCGGGGCACCAUGAUCAUCUUCGUCACCGGCAUGACACCAUGAUCUCCAUCAUCAUGAUCUCCAUCAUUGUGUCUUCAUGAAGUCGUCACGCCAACGAUUACUUCUACUUCUAUGGCUAACGCGUUUAGCAACAAAGUAAAGUAAUAUACAUGGCGUUAUUCAAUGACACGCAGGUCAUGCAAAAUAAUAAAGACAACUCCUAUGGCUCCUGCCGGUUGUCAUACUCAUCGACAUGCAAGUCGUGAUUCCUAUUACAAGAAUAUGAUCAAUCUCAUACAUCACAUAUAUCAUUCAUCACAUCUUCUGGCCAUAUCACAUCACAUAGCACUUGCUGCAAAAACAAGUUAGACGUCCUCUAAUUGUUGUUGCAAGUUUUUACGUGGUUUGUAGGUUUCUAGCAAGAACGUUUUCUUACCUACGUAUGACCACAACGUGAUUUGCCAAUUUCUAUUUAUCCUUCAUAAGGACCCUUUUCAUCGAAUCCGUUCCGACUAAAGUAGGAGAGACAGACACCCGCUAGCCACCUUAUGCAACUAGUGCAUGUCAGUCGGUGGAACCUGUCUCACGUAAGCGUAAGUGUAAGGUCGGUCCGGGCCGCUUCAUCCUACAAUGCCGCCGAAACAAGAAACGACUAGUAGCGGCAAGAAGAAUUGGCAAACUCAACGCCCACAACUACUUUGUGUUCUACUCGUGCAUAGUAACUACGCAUAGACCUGGCUCAUGAUGCCACUGUUGGGAAUCGUAGCAUAAUUUUAAAAUUUUCCUACGCUCACCAACAUGCAUCUAUGGAGUGUACUAGCAACGAGGGGAAGGGAGUGCAUCUACAUACCCUUGUAGAUCGCGAGCGGAAGCGUUCCAAUGAACGUGGAUGACGGAGUCGUACUCGCCGUGAUCCAAAUCACCGAUGACCGAGUGCCGAACGGACGACACCUCCGCGUUCAACACACGUACGGUGCAGCGACGUCUCCUCCUUCUUGAUCCAGCAAGGGGGAAGGAGAGGUUGAUGGAGAUCCAGCAGCACGACGGCGUGGUGGUGGAUGUAGCGGGUCUCCGGCAGGGCUUCGCCGAGCUUCUGCGAGAGAGAGAGAGAGGUGUUGCAGGGGAGGAGGGAGGCGCCCAAGGCUGUGUGUUGCUGCCCUCCCUCCCCACCUUUAUAUAGGCCCCCUGGGGGGCGCCGGCCCUGGGAGAUCGGAUCUCCAAGGGGGGCGGCGGCCAAAGGGGGGAAGGGGUUGCCUUGCCCCCCAAGGCAAGGGGGAAGCUCCCCCCCUUAGGGUUCCCAACCCUAGGCGCAUGGGGGGAGGACCAAGGGGCGCGCCCCAGCCCACUAAGGGCUGGUUCCCUUCCACUUUCAGCCCACGUGGCCCUCCGGGAUAGGUGGCCCCACCUGGUGGACCCCCGGGACCCUUCCGGUGGUCCCGGUACAAUACCCGUAACCCCCGAAACUUUCCCGGUGGCCGAAACUUGACUUCCUAUAUAUAAUUCUUCACCUCCGGACCAUUCCGGAACCUCUCGUGACGUCCGGGAUAUCAUCCGGGACUCCGAACAACUUUCGGGUUUCCGCAUACACAUAUCUCUACAACCCUAGCGUCACCGAACCUUAAGUGUGUAGACCCUACGGGUUCGGGAGACAUGCAGACAUGACCGAGACGCCUCUCCGGUCAAUAACCAACAGCAGGAUCUGGAUACCCAUGUUGGCUCCCACAUGUUCCACGAUGAUCUCAUCGGAUGAACCACGGUGUCGAGGAUUCAAUCAAUCCGUAUGCAAUUCCCUUUGUCAAUCGGUAUGUUACUUGCCCGAGAUUCGAUCGUCGGUAUCCCAAUACCUUGUUCAAUCUCGUUACCGGCAAGUCUCUUUACCCGUACCGCAAUGCAUGAUCCCGUGACUAACGCCUUAGUCACAUUGAGCUCAUUAUGAUGAUGCAUUACCGAGUGGGCCCAGAGAUACCUCUCCGUCACACGGAGUGACAAAUCCCAGUCUCGAUCCGUGCCAACCCAACAGACACUUUCGGAGAUACCCGUAAUGCACCUUUAUAGUCACCCAGUUACGUUGUGACAUUUGGAACACCCAAAGCACUCCUACGGUAUCCGGGAGUUGCACGAUCUCAUGGUCUAAGGAAAAGAUACUUGACAUUGGAAAAGCUCUAGCAAACGAAACUACACGAUCUUUUAUGCUAUGCUUAGGAUUGGGUCUUGUCCAUCACAUCAUUCUCCUAAUGAUGUGAUCCCGUUAUCAAUGACAUCCAAUGUCCAUAGUCAGGAAACCAUGACUAUCUGUUGAUCAACGAGCUAGUCAACUAGAGGCUUACUAGGGACACUUUGUGGUCUAUGUAUUCACACAUGUAUUACGAUUUCCGGACAAUACAAUUAUAGCAUGAACAAUAGACGAUUAUCAUGAACAAAGAAAUAUAAUAAUAACCAUUUAUUAUUGCCUCUAGGGCAUAUUUCCAACAUGAAGUUGAGUUGGACUCAAUGCCCGACCACUGCUGAGGAUAGAGAGAGAAUGAAAGUCAUUCCCUAUGCCUCAGCCAUAGGUUCUAUAAAGUAUGUCAUGUUGUAUACCAGACCUAUUGUGUACCUUGCCAUGAGUUUGGCAAGUGGGUACAAUAGUGAUCCAGAAGUAGAUCACUGGACAUCGGUCAAAAUUAUCCUUAGGUACCUAAAGAGGACUAAGGAAAUGUUUCUCGGUUAUGGAGGUGAUAAAGAGUUCGUCGUAAAGAGUUAUGUUGAUGCAAGCUUUGACACUGAUCUAGCUGACUCUAAGUCUAAAUCUCGGUACGUAUUGAACGUGGGAGCAAUUAUCUAGAGUAGCUCCAUGCGGAGCAUUGUAGACAUAUAAAUUUGCAAAAUACAUACGGAUCUGUAUGUGACAGACCCGUUGACUAAACUUCUCUCAUAAGCAAAACAUGAUCACACCAUAGUACUGUUUGGGUGUUAAUCACAUAGCGAUCUGAACUAGAUUAUUGACUCUAAUAAACCCUUUGGGUGUUGGUCACAUGGCGAUGUGAACUAUGGGUGUUAAUCACAUAAAGAUGUGAACUAUUGGUGUUAAAUCACAUGGCGAUGUAAACUAGAUUAUUGACUCUAGUGCAAGUGGGAGACUGGAGGAAAUAUGCCCUAGAGGCAAUAAUAAAGUUGUUAUUUUAUAUUUCCUUAUAUCAUGAUAAAUUUUUAUUAUUCAUGCUAGAAUUGUAUUAACCGGAAACUUGAUACAUGUGUGAAUACAUAGACAAAACAUCGUGUCCCUUGUAAGCCUCUACUAGACUAGCUCGUUAAUCAAAGAUGGUUAAGUUUCCAAACCAUAGACAUGUGUUGUCAUUUGAUGAACGGGAUCACAUCAUUAGGAGAAUGAUGUCAUGGACAAGACCCAUCCAUUAGCAUAGCAUAUUGAUCGUUCAAUUUUAUUGCUAUUGCUGCCUUCAUGUCAAAUACAUAUUCCUUCCACUAUGAGAUUAUGCAACUCCCGGAUACCGGAGGAACGCCUUGUGUGCUAUCAAACGUCACAACGUAACUGGGUGACUAUAAAGAUGCUCUACAGGUAUCUCUGAAGGUGUUUGUUGGGUUGACGUAGAUCAAGAUUAGGAUUUGUCACUCCGAGUAUCGGAGAAGUAUCUCUAGGCCCUCUCAGUAAUACACAUCAUAAGAAGCCUUGCAAGCAAAGUGACUAAUGAGUUACUUGCAGGAUGAUGUAUUACGAAACGAGUAAAGAGACUUGCCGAUAACGAGAUUGAACUAGGUAUGAAGAUACCGACGAUCAAAUCUCGGGCAAGUAACAUACCGAUGACAAAGGGAAUAACGUAUGUUGUCAUUACGGUUCAACCGAUAAAGAUCUUUGUAGAAUAUGUAGGAGCCAAUAUGAGCAUCCAGGUUUCUCUAUUGGUUAUUGACCGGAGAGGUGUCUCAGUCAUGUCUACGAACCCAUAGGGUCCGCAUGCUUAACGUUCGAUGACGAUUUUGUAUUAUAUGAGUUAUGUGAUUUGGUGACCGAAUGUUGUUCGGAGUCCCGGAUGAAAUGACGGACAUGACGAGGAGUCACAAAAUGGUCGAGAGGUAAAGAUUGAUAUAUAGGACGAUAGUAUUCGGACACUGGAAGUGUUCCGGGGAGUAUCGGGUACAUAUCGGGUCACCGGAAGGGGUUCCGGGCACCCCCGGCAAAGAUAUGGGCCUAAUGGGCCAAGAGGGGAAACGCAACAGCCAGCAGGGGCUGCUGCGCCCCUCAUAUGGGCUGCACGAGAGGGAAAGGGAAAGAGGGGAAGAGAGAAGGAAGGGGGGAUUCGACCGCCCCCUUCCUUCCCUCCUCCCUCCUCUUUCCUUCCUCCUCCGGUGAAUAUGGUAAGGGAGGGGGGAGAAUUGGACAAGGCCCCAAGUAGGAUUCCUCCUACUUGGGGCGCCCCAUGGAUGUUCCCCUCCCCCUCCCACCUAUAUAUAUGUGGGGAGGGGGCGCAUAGAAGACAGACCAACAAUUGUUAGCCGUGUGCGGCGCCCCCCUCCAAAGUUUACGUCUCUGGUCAUUUUCUCGUAGUGCUUAGGCGAAGCCCUACGCGGAUCACUUCACCAUCACCGUCACCAUGUCGUCGUGCUGACAGAACUCAUCUUCCUCGACACCUUUGCUGGAUCAAGAGUUCGAGGGACGUCAUCGAGCUGAAUGUGUGCAGAACUCGGAGGUGCCGUACGUUCAGUGCUUGAUCGGUCGGAACGAGAAGAAGUUCGACUACAUCAACCGCGUUAUCAAAUGCUUCCGCUUUUGGUCUACGAGGGUACAUGGACACACUCUCCCCCUCUCGUUGUUAUGCAUCUCCUAGAUAGAUCUUGCGUGAGCGUAGGAAUUUUUUUAAAAUUGCAUGCUAUGUUUCCCAACACCACGGGGCGCGCCCCUGCGGAGGAAAGGGCGCCCCCACCGCCCCACGGAGUGAAGUAGCCCACCCAGGGCGUCUGUCGGCCGCCGAACGGAGGUGCGGGGUGACCACGCCCCACAGAGUUGCCGCGACCAUGGCCGCGUCCGCGCCCGCGACCACCACCAGUGUCGCACCCGCGGUCACCGUAGCCGUUGCCGUUGUGGCCGCACUCCGCGGGUGCCUUGCCGCGGUCACCGCUGGAUGAGCCACGGUCGUUGGAGGACGAGGAGCCGCCGCCGCCGCCGAGGCCGAUGGAGAGGGCCGAGGAGCCCUCCGAGUGGUCGCGAGCGUCGAGCUGGAUCUCCUCGAGCAGCAGACGAGAGCGGGCUUGGUUGAAAGUGGGGAACAACGUUUACAUGGGGAGGACAGUGGCGAUCACCUGAAAGCGAUGGGAAAGGCCAUGCAGCAGUUGGAGUCUCAGGGCCCGAUCCGUGAUCGGUUUUCAACGUCCGCGAGGUUGUCCACCAGCGUCUUGAGGUGGCCGCAGUACUCCGCCACGCGCAAAUCGCCCUGGGUGAGGGCACGGAACUCCGUGCUGAGGUGCACGGCCUGUGCGGACUGGUUGGCGAGGAAGAAUUCGUGCAGCUUGCGCCACACCCGAUAUGCCGUGUUCGCCUUGCCGUGGACGACCUCAUACAGGGCGUCGGUGAUGGUGGAGCAGAUUAGCAGCAGCAGAAUCAGAUCGGCGUGGCGCCAUGCCGGCGUCUGCUGCGCGGGGUUGGAGUAGCAAUCGACAUUUUUUUUCGAAAAGGGGGGACUCCCUGACCUCUGCAUCAGAACGAUGCAUACGGCCACAGGAGUAGCGAUCGACAUGACUGGUGACGCAGUACAUGGUGAGGACGCAGCGCCAGAGCUCGAGCCACUUGGAGUAACUCCCCGACUGAACAUCGAGUUUGAAGGUGAUGAGAUUGCCGAUGUUGUUGAGGCUGUGGAUGGAGGGAACGGCAGCAGAAGAAGAUGCUGCAUCAAGGAGGGUGGGCGUCGUCAGGACAGGCAGCAGAGACAUGGUGGACGGCGCCGUGGCAGGGGGAGCAGUGGCUAUGGGCAGAGUGGGCCCAAAGGAGGUGACAACCGGGGAGGGAGCAGGGGGAGUGGUGCCCGUGAGAUCGCCGGAGGAGGCUUCGUUGGUUGCCAUGGAGAGAAGGUCGCAGGAGGGCUGCUCUAAUUACCAAGAAGAAUAAUAGAAUGGAAGACACUACUAUUCAUCAGCCCACGAAGGGGUAAAUAUACAGAGUACAUGAUGGUAACAGACACAACUAUGUACGGGCAUGCACAACGUGCACCAAGUCGUGGGGCGCGGUAGCAGAUCACGUACAAGACGUGGGACUCGGUCCCUGUGUUACACUAGCAACGGGCAUCUUCCAACAUAAACAAACGUACAAUGUGACGUGAAUUCACCUGCAACAAAAUGUCAGGUAAAUUAUGUACACAAAUUGUAAGGAGUUUGCUGGAACAAUGAUUUGGGCCUGUUUACUUCGUGUAUAUAUGGAAAACAAUAUGAACUUUUGAUCCUGAAAAUAAAAUAUUUCAUAUUUAAAAAUAAUGUAAGGUUUUGAUGUUCGUUGAUCCUUGAUCUAACCUUAUGUAUAAAAAAUAUCUAACCUUAUGUGUUCCUCCACCUUUUCUUCAGUUUGUUUUUUUCUUCUCAUCUUUGGGUUUUUAAUUGGUUUUUCUCUAAAAUCGCAUCAACUGCACCACAAUCACACUAAUAUGAGGAAGUAAUUCACAUGCUAACCUACCAGAAUAUUUAACAACCCCCNNNNNNNNNNNNNNNNNNNNNNNNNNNNNNNNNNNNNNNNNNNNNNNNNNNNNNNNNNNNNNNNNNNNNNNNNNNNNNNNNNNNNNNNNNNNNNNNNNNNNNNNNNNNNNNNNNNNNNNNNNNNNNNNNNNNNNNNNNNNNNNNNNNNNNNNNNNNNNNNNNNNNNNNNNNNNNNNNNNNNNNNNNNNNNNNNNNNNNNNNNNNNNNNNNNNNNNNNNNNNNNNNNNNNNNNNNNNNNNNNNNNNNNNNNNNNNNNNNNNNNNNNNNNNNNNNNNNNNNNNNNNNNNNNNNNNNNNNNNNNNNNNNNNNNNNNNNNNNNNNNNNNNNNNNNNNNNAUUAUCUAAUUGAGAUGAGGGGAAAUAGAAAGAACCUGCCCAUCUUGUCUUUGGUCCUUCAUCUUCUUCAUUUCUAUUGUUUUUAGUCUUUUUUCAUCGGUUUUCCUUGAGAAUCGUCUUAACUGGCUCGUCUUACGGGUGUAUCAACUAAAAUCAUGUUUUUCUUUAGUAAGUAAAUAAAUAUUGAGUCAAUUAUCAUUUUUAAUGCUAGAUGAUACCUCACGCGUUGCUGCGGGAAUCCGUUGUAAUAUAUUUCAAUGAGAUUUUAUUGUAUGAAAUAUAAAAUAUUUAGAUUAUUAACAAGUGAACCAAAUUAAAAAAUACACUUGACUUAUUCUAUUUGAUUAUUUAUAGUUGAAAAAUAUUAUUGAAUGUAAGUAACAUAAUAGAAUGAAAAAUAUUUUCCCAAGCAUGCUUUCAUGUGGUGGGUCUUUUCUAUGGAUGGUUGCACGUUAAGGUGGGCUUUAUCCCAUCCAUAAUUUUAUGGUGAUAUGACAUGCUUGUAAGGUAAUAUCACUACGAGUCAUAGAACUUGUGUUGCAUGUUUAGUUUGGUGCUAGAACUUUAAAAAUACGGAAUUUGCAGUCACUUAACUUGACUCAAGCAUGCAGAUACCAUCACAAAUACGUAUGCGGGGCAUCCGUGUGUAUGGCUAGUGUGACACAUUUUUUCACGAAACACCCUCAUCUUUUUUAUUUGCAGAAAAAUCUGACAACAGCGAUGUAUUUUUGCACAAAACCCCCUUGGGUUUUAUUAUUUCCGUAAAGGACGGCCACUGUACUCCUUGAAAAAAUUAACACUAUGAAAAGGGCGACGUCUAACUUAGAUCACGGGCUGGUCUAGCCACUACACCACUAACGUUUGAAUGUCUACAAAGGAUAGCAAUCUUAUAUAUGUAUGAAUAUUUUUUAUAUAUAAUACACAUGUUUAUAUCUAAAUAUUUUUAUUUACUAAUCAUCGCCUCUAUGUAUAAUAUUUAUAACGCACAAACAUUUGUACAUAUUUACAUAUGUUUUACAAAUAUCUUAAAAAAUAACACAUGGAAAAUGGGCCCCAUUACCUACGGCCCAUUUGCUCACAUGGGUCUUUUUUCGAGAGUACGCCAAUGACGUAUCUUAUAUUUAUAGAAGAAAGAGCAACAAGUUUAUAAGAGAAGCCUUAAGGGGAUGCAAACAUCCCUCCUCGGCCACACCCAAUUACAACCCACGCCCUAACACAAGCCUACUCUCUCGUAAAGCGUGACAACCCGCCUACUCCUACACCAGCCACUCUCCAAUCUUGGAUCUCCCUCAGAAUAGCCUCCACCAGCUGGUGUGGCGAUUUCGGUCACAUGGGUCCUCACUCAAUGUAUCUAAGGUUUUUAUCCAUUCUAAUCAUUCUAACAUAAAUGGUGGAUUGGCUAGACGGGCUCUUGUUCCAACAACCGAUCUUUGGUUGGAGACCUGAUGACGCACUUUGUAUUGUUAAUUUUCUUGUCUCGGUGUAGUACAGUGGUCAUAUUUUUUUGGAAAUAAAAAUUCCAAGGGGCUUUUGUGCAAAUAUGCAUCACGGUUGUUAGCUCUUUCCGCAAAUAAAAAAAUGAGGGUCUUCUGUGCAAAAUGUGUCGUGUUGCGCCCAUCAUUCACCGAAAGAUGGGGUCACACACACGGACAUGCCCGCAUACGUGUUUGUGACCGUAUCUGCACACUUAAGUUAUGACUAUAAUUCCGUAUUGCAAGUUUUAUGACUUCCAGUGAUAUUAUCUCAAUAGGUUAGUGGAGAUGACUCUCUUAUGUAUAUAGAAUAAGAACAUAAACAAUAAAAUGAUUGGCAAAUGAUGGUAAUUGCCUAGAAAAUGUUGUGAUUCUAUUGUAACGCAUGAACAGUUAUCUAGUUGAAGGGUAAGGGCGUCUCCUACGCGACCUGCAAAUUUUCUCCCGCGUUCGUCUUCGGACGGUGGGAGACCAACCCGCAAAUACGGAUGCAGGAGACCACCAUCCAACGCUAUCUUGUAUAUGUCUGUCAGUAAAGGACAGUUACAAAUUCAAAUUUAGUCCAACAUACACAGCGCGCCGGAUCACUCCAGGCUGGACCGCAUGCCCUAUCACAACAAAAAAAGAA
rnacentral:lncRNA from 1 species